GAGAUCAAUGAUGAGCAUGUGUUGGAUGGUCUUCAACCGCAUCCUAACUUGAAAGCCUUAUCAGUAGUGGACUAUUUAGGGACUAAAUUUCCUUCAUGGUUCAGUGAAGAGUUGCUACCAAAUUUGGUCAAGUUGAAACUAAGUGGUUGCAAAAGGUGCAAAGAAAUUCCAUCCCUUGGCCAACUGAAAUUCCUUCGGCAUCUUGAGCUGGAAGGAUUCCAUGAGUUGGAAUGCAUUGGACCUGAUUUAUAUGGUGUUGAGAUUAGCAAUAAUGGAUCAAGCAGCAUUAUCCAAGUGUUCCCGUCAUUGAAAGAACUAGUAUUAGAGAAUAUGCGCAGCCUUAUUGAGUGGAAGGGAGAUGAAGUUGGUGUUAGAAUGUUUCCUAGGCUUGAGAAGUUGACGAUUACAGACUGUUCACUGUUAAAAAGUACUCCAAGUCAAUUUGAAAUCCUGCGUGAAUUAAGAAUUGAAUUAGUUGACAGUGAAAUGCCAUUGUUGAACUUGUACAGCAACUUGACAUCUCUUGUGGAUCUUUCUGUUAGGAAUGUGCAAGAGCUCACUUGUCUUCCAGAUGAGAUUCUACGCAACAACGUUUCUCUUCAAUACCUAUCAGUCUCAUACUGCGGAGAGUUUCGUGAAUUGCCACAAAGCUUGUACAAUCUCCAUUCUCUUAAGAGAUUAAUGAUUGCCAACUGCACCAAUUUCAGUUCUUUUCCUGUUCCCUGUGGAGAGAACUAUUUGACUAACCUCCGAAGGUUGGAUUUAUUCAAUUGUAAUGGAUUGACCAGCUUACCAAGUGGAAUUCUAGAGCAUUGUCGGUCUCUGAUAGUUUUUAAUGUCUGCAAUUGUAAGAACUUAGUUUCAUUGCCUUUACACGUGUGGGAAAUGCCUUCACUUUCCUAUUUGGAUUUAUCAGAUUGUCCCAAAUUGAUUAGUGUACCCGCAGGAGGCCUUCACUGUCUCACCGGGUUAAGGAGAUUGGAAAUUGGUCCUUUCUCAGAGAUGGUGAAUUUUGAGGCAUUCCAAUUGAUUUUUAAUGGCAUUCAGCAGUUGUUGUCCCUUCGUAGAUUGGGUGUGUGGGGACGUGGGCACUGGGAUUCUCUGCCCUAUCAGCUUAUGCAACUCUCUGCCCUAACAGAGAUCAAAAUAUGCAAUUUCGGAAUGGAGGCUCUUCCUCAUAGAUUUGACAACCUUACUUCUCUUGAAACAUUACAAGUAGAGGAGUGCGAGCGGCUAUGGCAUUUGGACUUCUCAGAUUCCAUGUCAAAAUUACGGCAUCUCAGGAUAUAUGCUUGUCCAUUGUUAGAAGCUCUGUCAGAUGGGCUCGGCAACAUUGUUUCUUUGGAAAAAUUAGUUUUACAUCACUGCCAAAAACUAAAACAUCUGCCAUCCAGAGAUGCCAUGCAACGCCUCACCAAAUUACUGUACCUGGAAAUUGGAAGCUGCCCACAGUUAGAAGAAAGUUGCACCAAUCGGAGUAGCCCAAACUCCCAGUGGUCCAACAUUUCCCAUAUUCCAGAAAUUCAAGUAGGCGGGACGAUGAUUCAGGAUACACGUAUGUCUCUGUUUCUCUUUCACUUUCUUAGUCGAUUUUUCAAAUAUUAUUUUCAUGAGUUCCACACAAAAAGCUUUGUAUGUAAUUUAAUAUUAAAAAUGCAAAAUUAAAUCAAUCAUUUGCAUAUGUGAUAUACUUUCAGCAUUCUGCUUGUCCACUUGAACGACUUGUUUUUCUUUUAAUUCUUCAAGUAUGGUAUAUCUUGAUAAUACUUAGGGUGUGUUUGGUAUGAAGGAAAAUGUUUUCCUGGAAAACAAGUUGAUUUUUGACUUAUUUUCUCAUUUUUGGUUGGUGAGUAGAAAAUAGUUUCCGAAAAAGAUUUUUAGUAUUUGAUUUAUGAAUGAUUUUUUUUUUGAGAAAUAUCUUUUAUUUUUACUAGGGUAGAAAAUAAUUUUUGAAAUUGAAAAUAUUUUUUAAAAACAAACUUAAUUUUUUUUGGGGUGGGGUGGUAGGGGUGGGUNNNNNNNNNNNNNNNNNNNNNNNNNNNNNNNNNNNNNNNNNNNNNNNNNNNNNNNNNNNNNNNNNNNNNNNNNNNNNNNNNNNNNNNNNNNNNNNNNNNNNNNNNNNNNNNNNNNNNNNNNNNNNNNNNNNNNNNNNNNNNNNNNNNNNNNNNNNNNNNNNNNNNNNNNNNNNNNNNNNNNNNNNNNNNNNNNNNNNNNNNNNNNNNNNNNNNNNNNNNNNNNNNNNNNNNNNNNNNNNNNNNNNNNNNNNNNNNNNNNNNNNNNNNNNNNNNNNNNNNNNNNNNNNNNNNNNNNNNNNNNNNNNNNNNNNNNNNGGGUUGGUUGGGGGGCUGGUUUGAGGGUAGGGACAAAAUAAAUUGAUUUUUUCAACAAUUUUUUUUUUAAUUGGAAGUUGGAAGAGAGUUUUGGAAAAUGUUUUCCUUAAGUUUUGAAGAGAAGUCAUUUUCCUUAAAUUUGAGGAAAAUGAGUUGAUUUGAAAAACAUUUUCCAAAAAUUUAACCCAAUCAAACAUGAGAAAAUUGGAAAACAUUUUCCGAAAAAUGUUUUCCUUCAUACCAAACACACCCUUAAUCAUGAAAUUUAUGUUUUUUUUUUCCUUCUAGGUUACUAGUUCCAAGGUCAUGCUAGAACAUCGAUGUGGUAAAUUAAGCCAAAUCCCAUGAGCAGCAGGCAAUUACGUUAGGUAAAUUUUCAUUUACAAUUUAUAGGCACUUUGUAAUCUACUAAUUUCUAUCCUUCUUUUUGUUGGGAACUGAUUUUCGGAGGUCUGUGCUGAUGAAUACAACACUACCUUCCUAAAAAAAAAAAAAAAAGAAGUUUAAUCAAGAAAAUUUAUGUUGCUGCUCAUAGGUUACUAGGUACAAGGUCAUGGUAGAACUUCCUUGUGGUAUAUCAAGUCAAAAUCCACGGGCAGUAAUCACAUUAGGUAUUUUUAUUUAGUUGUUAAAGGACUGCUAUAAAAAGUCUGUCAAGUUCUUUUUUGCAUUCCUUUUCUCUCACGAAACAAUUUUACUGUUUAAACGGGGUUUGUUAUGUUUCAUAGAGGCUCAUGGGGUACAAACGGCUACAAAUUACUGUACCUGGAAACUGAAGGCUGCCCAGAGUUAGAAGAAAGUUGCACCAAUCGGAGUAGCUCAAACUCCCACUAGUCCAACAUUUCCCGUGUUCCAAAUAUUGAAGUAGAUGGGAGGAAAAUUCAGAACUUAUGUAAGUCUCUGUUUCUUCUUCUAAUUUUUAAAUUUUCAUAUCUUGAUAUGAAAAUUUAUGUGUUUUUUUAUAGGUUACUAGUUCCACGGUCAUGCUAGAACGUCUCUGUGGUAAAUUAAGCCUCAUCCCAUGAGCGGCAGGCAAUUAUGUCAGAUAAAUUUUCAUAUAGGAUUUAUAGGCACUUUGUAAUCUUCUAAAUUUUGUGUCUUCCUUUUUGUUGGGAACAAAUUUUUGGAGGUCUAUGCUGAUGAAUACAACAUGAAAAUUUAUGUUGAUGCUCAUACAUUACUAGGUACAAGGUCAUGGAAGAACUUCAUUGUGGUUUAUCAAGUCAAAAUCCAUGGGCAGCAAUCACAUUAGGUAUCUUUAUUAGUUGUUAGAGGAAUGCUAUAACAAGUUUGUCAGCUUCAUUCCUUUUCUCUCAUGAUACAUUUUUACUGUUUAACCAGGUUUGUUAUGUUUCACAGAGGAACCACCACUUUUAUUUUGUUUGAAGAACAGAAUCUUCAGCUGUAGACUCAUUACGAAACACUUUCAUGAGUAUUUGGGUACUGAACAUCUUUUCGGGAAACUGUAGUCUACAUAUGAAACAUCAAAAAACUCAAAGCAUAUAGGGUGCUCAAUGUGAAGCUACACACGUCUAUCCUCUGUCUUUGCAUGAACCUAUUUGCCUUUUUAUUCUCCAUGUAAGUUUCUGCAAUUUUAUUUGACGAAUAAAGUCUGAUAUCUACUUUCAUAGGGACUUUGUAUUUAACUUUCUAUGAAAUUGUGAACUGUUAGAAUGUAACCUGUUUUAUUCCCUUUUACUUUCAAUGAUUUACUAUCUCACAGUAUUAAUGUCUGUGCCUCCCCUCUCCCAUCCGGUACGAAAUAAGAAGAAUCUUAGUAUUUGUCAUAUCUAGUCAGGUGAUAUGAUGAAGAUAAUGGAAGUAAUGGAUGGUCGGUGUGUUAUGAAUGGGCCUAGACCAGUAUUGACAAAGCAGCCCAAAGCCGAAUUAAAAGGGCUAUGUGUGGGAUCCGGGUUGAUAAAUAGAGACUUGGGAGAGCAAAAUAGUUUUAUGCAAAUUAUGUGAAGCUUUGGCUUUCUGAUCCUCUCAUCUCCUUUCUAUGGUCUAGAAUCUCAUCCCCUUCUAGUUACCCUCUUCUAUGUUAUCUAUCUAUAAUUAGUGUGUUGUUACUUUGUUGUGGGUAUUAUACAUUGUAACUUGUAUUCCGUAAUAACAAUAUAUAUAUCAGUGUUUGUGUUGAAAAUUGAGUUUGUUACAUUGGUGCUUUCAUCCAGAGGUUUCUCAUGGAGGACCAAAGACUCAAGGCUCUCAUCAAUGAAUCCAUUAAGGAGGCAAAAGAGUCAUUUUCCAAAGAUAUUGCAGACAUUCGCCAUAUGUUACAGGAGGUUACCCGAAAGUUCGUUCCGGCAGGGCCUCACAUUCGAGAUCCAACAAUGGAGGUUGCUCGUCCUCAUCACGGGAAAGGCACUCUUGAAUCCCCCACACUCCGUCAUAGGCCAGCUCCGGUGGAACUAGGACGAUUUCGUGGUGAAAAUCCAGAGGCGUGGAUUUUCCAAGCUGAAUGCUAUUUUGAUUUUUACGGAAUCGUAGAAACGCACAAGCUAACCUUGGCAUCCUUUUAUCUCAACGGUGAAGCUUUGGAAUGGUAUCAAUGGUUGUUUUGCAACAAACAACUGGCUGGCUGGGACCAUUUUGUGGACAAAUUGCUGAUUCGUUUUCGCUCCCGUACUAGGGACAAACAACGCGAGUUCUUACCCAUUCCCAGAAACAAGAAUCAUAGGGCAGUGGAGUACUCUCAGGCGGUUAGUCCAUCGUUGGUUAAUAUUGAGACUUUGGGUCCCAUGUUGGACUCCAAAUAUGACUUGAAGAACAACCCAAACGGCUAUGCCUGCAAGGUGUUCGCUGAAAUGCCCGAUAAGAAAAUUGACAUGGAAGUUGAACAUCCAGUGAUAACUGAUUCAACAAAUCUGGCAUCCCAUAUGUUUGAUGAAAAUUUUCAAACAGUUUCUGCAUUUUAAGGGAGAGUACGGUGAGCUUAUCAUGUUUGAUAAUAAUUGUCUUGCACUACCUUGUUUGCCUUCGAUUUUUAGUCGCACCCAACUUAUGGGAAGAUCUAUAUUUGAUUACUUCAAGGAAUUCGGUCAUGCUAACCUCCCAUUAUCGUUGUAUCAAUUUCCACUUGAUCAUUUCGGGUUCAGCUUUCCAUUUGAUCCUGGUUCUAGUUUGAAAGUUGGAGUCGCGCUGUGAUAAUUUGGAGCAAUGUACUGCUCAUCGGUAAAGUUGCAAGAGAACUGCCUACACCUGCUUCUAACUUGCUGAUGUUAGUAUGUAUAGCUUCCUUAAUAGCUCCAAUGAGAAUCCUCACAAUGAUAUCAAAUUGGUACUACUUGAACCUUGAGGACAAGGUUCUUAUUGGGGCUGAAGGUAUUGUUAUGAAUGGGCCUAGACCAGUAUUGACAAAGCAGCCCAAAGCCGAAUUAAAAGGGCUAUGUGUGGGAUCCGGGUUGAUAAAUAGAGACUUGGGAGAGCAAAAUAGUUUUAUGCAAAUUAUGUGAAGCUUUGGCUUUCUGAUCCUCUCAUCUCCUUUCUAUGGUCUAGAAUCUCAUCCCCUUCUAGUUACCCUCUUCUAUGUUAUCUAUCUAUAAUUAGUGUGUUGUUACUUUGUUGUGGGUAUUAUACAUUGUAACUUGUAUUCCGUAAUAACAAUAUAUAUAUCAGUGUUUGUGUUGAAAAUUGAGUUUGUUACACGGUGCCAUUGAAAUCUGCUUAAUGCUUAUGAGGUAUUCAUGAGCCGGUGACUGUGGUUGCAUCUUGCACGAAGCUUGAAAGUUCAAGGUAAGUUUUUUAGAUCAAUACUUUUUUCUCCCAAAUGCUACUUUUGAAUCAUCAUACUUAUCUAUGGAACAAUGUCAAGUCUUAUAUAUGGUAGAAAUCUAUAUAAGUUUCUUAAUAGACUCAUAAAAAACUAUCUUUAUUUUCAUGCUUUAUCAGUAGAAACUUUAUGGAUAUUUGACACACUUCUCGUUACUUUCACUUCACAGGAUAAUUUCUCCGUUGAUAUUGGAAAGUGAAUUGGAAAUAUUAUUUCCCUGUAUGUGGAAGAUCCGAAAAGGAUUCAUGAAUGAUUAAGUUUGUUGCACAUGAAUCAUGAUAAUCAGUAGAGGCUUUUUGCGUAUGUUGAAUUAAUCAUUAAAGGUCACAGACAUGAAUAAGAUUUGCGAAAAUGCAGUCUAGGAAAUGAAGUUUUUACUCAUGUUAGAUUUAAGCAGUAUAUCUUAUGAAAGAUUGAGUAUUAUUUAUUUGUCUUUUCCACUGUAUCACAAAGAAAAGAGAGGUUAAGUGAUCGAAUAACCCUUUUAUAAUUAAUGAUAAUUAUAUUAUUUUAAAUAAAAAAUUUGAUCCAAUAAAUAUUUUAUCUAAUUUUCUCAAAAAAAAAAAAAAAGAGUCCAGUGGAAUACUUGUCUUUGAUAGAAUGUGACACAUUAGGAAAUCCAGCCAAACUUGGUCAAAAUUGUGUAUUAUUGCCGGAAAACAGAACUGAAAAAUAGUAUUUUCUCCGUCCUUGAUUUAUACAUUGUCGUGUUUUAUAAUUUUUUUGAAAUAACAUAAAGAUUUCAUGUCUAAAUUUAUAGUUAAAAUAAAAAUAUUUGAUUCUCAAAAUUCAAAUAACGAGAAAGAGGGAGUACUAAGAAAAACAUGUCCACAGAACAAUGUGUUUGAUUCCUUCAAAUAAGUACUACUAUUCCUUCAUGGGAUUUUUUUUAAAGUUCGAAAUAAAAAGAAUUUACUAAAUUUAGACAAGUCAUUGAAUAAUAAAUGAGCGGGACAUUAACUAAAGAUUUCUUUAAUUAAGAUGAGUUAAACAAUUAGCCUUAGUCCACCUCGCAUUAAACUCUUACCAACUUUUUAUGGUUGUUUGCUUUCUUAGUGAUUGUCUUUAUCAAAUAAAAGUAUAAAAUCGGUUUAAUUUUUUUUUAUCACGACUAUCCAUAGCAUAUGAAGUAAAAAAAUAAUAAUUUAAAAAUCAAUAAUAUUUCUUAUUAAUUUGGGUACCAUAUUUCAAUAAUGUUUUGACUAAGCAUAUUUAAUAUUAAAAAAUAAAGGAAAGAGAGAGGGGGAGAAAUGAUAAGUACCUGAAACUGAAGAUGGCAGAGAAGAAGACUCAAUAAAUUGUGAACAUUUUCACCGAAUGAAAUAGGAAAAAAGACUUAUUUAUAAUAAGAUGUUAGGAGCAGUAAAAAAACCUCUCUCUAUUAUAAGAUGUUAGAAUUGGUAGAAAAGAUUCAAUUUAUUAUGAGAUGUUUUUACUUUUUCAAACAAAAAAUAAUAGAAAUUUUACUAUUUAAUAUUUAAUAAAUUGGACUAAGAGUUGUUAAAUUAAAAUUAGUAUAUGUAAAAUAUUGAUUUGAAUCAUUUUAGAUUGUAAUAUUUUAUCUGAGCAAAUUAAAAAUAUUACAUUUUAAAAGUCCAAUUAGUGUAUUGUUCCUUAAUUAAAUCUAUCCCCCCCCCCCGUCCCUCCUUACCCCGCUUCCCCUUCCCUUUCUCCAUCCCCAUAAUUAAUUCUAUAUGAACAUAGAUAAUAAAUAUCAUAAUGAAUAUCAAAUAAUUUUAAUGUUUCAUAUAUAUUUCUCUUUAUUACAUUAUUUGUUGUUUAAAAUUAUAGUAUCAGUAUUGAUUUUUAUUAACUUAUCAUUUGACUUAAUAUAAUUAUCAAGCGCUCUUCUUGUAGAUAUUAAACAAAUCUGUUUAUUUUUUUUACUUGUGAGUUUUAAAUUUUAUUGUUCACAUUCCUUUAAUUCAAUAUUUAUGGAUAAUAAUAUGUAUAUUAUCUAACUAAUUUAUUAUACUCUCAAAAGUAGUUCAAAAUAUUUUUCACACACAUUUUUCGCUAACAUUAUAUAUUAGCUUUAUGCCUUUAUCUUAAAACUGUCAAGUGGCUUUUAGCUUGCCACUUGACUUAACCACAUUGCAAACUACUUUGUUAUAUGUAAAUAUAUAUAUAGAUCUAGAUGAUAAUUGUGCGCUUAAUGAUUUAUACAAACAUUCAAAGAGACUGAAACGUUGCCAGAUUAAAAAAUUAGGAAAAACUACAAAAUAUAGCAAACAUCAAUUUAUAUUAUAUGUAUAUAGCUACAAUUUAUUUUUUUAACCUAUAUGGAUAUACUUACAUAUUAAUUAGCAAACUUAAUUAACCAUGAAUUGUAAGCUUUUUUUUAAAAAAAAAUUAUAUGUAUUUAAAUAAUUAUUACUAAAUAGGAAAGAUAUCACUACAUAAAUGCAAUAUAUACGUUUUAUGGUGCUAUGUUGUCCAUACUUACCUUAUUCAACAUUUUUCUCUUUCAAUAUACAUGUAUCAACGCUUUUUUUAUUAUUUUUCCUCUAAUUUCCUUCUAAUUCAAGAUCCUUUGCAUGAUUGUAUGAACGAUUUUUGUGAUUCAUCUUCGUUGGGUAUAUUCUAAUUAAUUGCAUUUUUUUCUCCUUUAUAUGAAGUUUAUAUUUAUACACAUAUAUAUGUUUCUCGAUUUUCGUAGGGUUUUAUUUUAAGAAGUUAUUUUCACCAGCAUUCAAAUAUACAAUUAAAUUCUGUUAAAAUUCACUUUGAUACAAAUGAUGUAAUACAUUUCGUUCUCUUGAUACACGCAUAUAAUUGUAUUUGAAUGUUGAACACAAUGGAAUACAUAUACAUUUGAAUACUUGUUAUUUUUUAUGAAUUGUCCAAUUAAAAUACAAGUGCAUUUGGAUACAUAAAUACAUUACAUAAAUUUGAAUGUAUACAUAUACAACACAUCUAUUUUUUUAUUGAGUGAAAUACAUAUACAUUUGGAUAAUUAUAUUGUAGUAUAGUUCUUUGACAUUUUUUCUAGAUUGUCCAAUUAUAUUGAUAUAUUAACACAAUUGUAUUGAGCAAUCUUAGGGAUACAAUAUACUUAUCAUGAAGUUCACGUAUUUGAAAUCGAAACAAACAAGAUUCAUUCACUAUUACAAUAAAUCAAUUUAACUAAAGAAAUUUAUGUGAAAUAUAUUUAUGCUUGAACAAGAACAACAUCAAGAAAGAAAAUAUGUGUACGAUGUAUCCAAAUUUUUUUAAAACUAAUUGGAAUCCUAGAGUAUAUGCAUUGACUAGGUAAUCAAAUAUGUGAAUAAAUUGUAUUCUCUUGAUUACACACAUAUAAUUGUAUUUGAAUGUUGAACAUAGUGGAAUACAUAUACAUUUGAAUACUUGUUAUUUUUUCAUGGAUUGUCCAAUUAGAAAUACAAGUGCAUUAGGAUACAUAAAUACAUUACAUAGAUUUGAAUGUAUACGUAUACAACACAUAUUUUUUUUUUUGCAUAGAGUGAAAUACAUAUACAUUUGGCUAAUCAUAUUUGUAUUAUAGUUCAUUGUCAUUUUUUUUCUAGAUUGUCCAAUUGUAUUGAUAUAUCAACACAAUUGUAUUGAGCAAUCUUAGGGAUACAAUUAUGCUUAUUGUGUAUUUGAAACCAAAACAAACAAGAUUCAUUCACAAUUACAAUAAAUCAAUUUAACUAAAGAAAAUGUAAGUGAAAUACCUUUACGCUUGAACAAGAACAAUAGCGACAAAUGAAAAAUUUGUAUACGAUGUAUCCAAUUUUUUUAAAAAAGUAAUUGGAAUCCGAGAGUAUACACAUUGACUAUGUAAUCAUUAGUUGUUAAUGUAAUAAUGGGAAGUUGAGAAUUUCAAGCAACAUAAUUAAAGGGAUUCAGUUACCUUAUUUAAUUCACUAUAAUUCUAAUUAUAUCACUGUAUAAUUUAAAAAAAAAAAACAAAUACAGCUAGAUAUUAAUAUAAAAUGUAGUUAUUUUUAGUAAAUGAUAUACUUAUAACUAUUGAACUUCAAUAACCCUAUAAAUAUAGUCAUUUAUGUAAGUUGCUCUUAAAAUUAACUGGUCUAUUAGUUAAAUGAAGGUUUUAUAUGAAUAAUUUAAUGGGCAAAUUACAGAAAUCACAUACUUUUAAGGCAAAAUUAUAAUUUAUUCCUUAAAAGUUUAUAAUUACAGAAAUCCUUCAAACGGAUACAAUAAUAUAAGCGCUGAUACAUUAAUCUGAUGCGCGAGAUACAUUAAUCGUUAAGUAAGAUACAUUACAUUUUAUACAUGAUACACUAAUCUAAUGCGCGAGAUACGAUAAUAUAAACGCUGAUACAUUAAUCUGAUGCGCGAGAUACACUAAUCUGAUGUGCGAAAAUAAGGAAUUUUGGAGAUUUGUAAAACUUAUAGGGGAUAAUGAUAAUAAGUAAACUAAAAGUUGAAUUUUCUGUAAUUUUCCCUAAUUUAAUUGAUUCAGUUGGCAAGCUAAUAUACUUUGCAAGGGGUGGAAUAGAAGAAUUUAAAUUGAGGAGUACUCCCUCCGUUCCACAAAGAAUGACCUCCUUUCCUUUUUAGUCAGUUUCAAAAAGAAUGACCUCUUUCCUUUUUUGGUAACAUUUUACUUUUUGCUUUCCGCAUGACAUGUUUAAAACCACAAGAUUCAGGGCAAUUUUGUACAUUUGACAUAACUUUAAUUUAGGACCACAAGAUUCAAAAGUCUUCUUUAUUUACUUAAACUCCGUGCCAAGUCAAACCAGGUCAUUCUUUAUGAACGGAGGGAGUAAUAGAGAAAAUCAUAUGAAUCAGAAGACCAUGAAGCUGCCACUUUUUGCUCUGCUCGAACUCAAAACUUUAGGGUCGAUGGUGAGGGAUGCUUACAAAAUGACUGUGAGAUGAAUGAUGAGUUGAAGGGUGUAUUUGGUAUGAAGGAAAAUGUUUUCCAAUUUUCUCAUGUUUGGUUGGGUUAAAUGUUUUGGAAAAUGUUUUCCAAAUCAACUCAUUUUCCUCAAAUUUAAAGAAAAUGACUUUCCUUCAAAACUUAAGGAAAACAUUUUCCAAAACUCUCUUCCAACUUCCAAUUAAAAAAAAUUGUUGAAAAAAUCAAUUUAUUUUGUCUCUACACUCAAACCAACCCCCCAACCACCCCCCCCNNNNNNNNNNNNNNNNNNNNNNNNNNNNNNNNNNNNNNNNNNNNNNNNNNNNNNNNNNNNNNNNNNNNNNNNNNNNNNNNNNNNNNNNNNNNNNNNNNNNNNNNNNNNNNNNNNNNNNNNNNNNNNNNNNNNNNNNNNNNNNNNNNNNNNNNNNNNNNNNNNNNNNNNNNNNNNNNNNNNNNNNNNNNNNNNNNNNNNNNNNNNNNNNNNNNNNNNNNNNNNNNNNNNNNNNNNNNNNNNNNNNNNNNNNNNNNNNNNNNNNNNNNNNNNNNNNNNNNNNNNNNNNNNNNNNNNNNNNNNNNNNNNNNNNNNNNNNNNNNNNNNNNNNNNNNNNNNNNNNNNNNNNNNNNNNNNNNNNNNNNNNNNNNNNNNNNNNNNNNNNNNNNNNNNNNNNNNNNNNNNNNNNNNNNNNNNNNNNNNNNNNNNNNNNNNNNNNNNNNNNNNNNNNNNNNNNNNNNNNNNNNNNNNNNNNNNNNNNNNNNNNNNNNNNNNNNNNNNNNNNNNNNNNNNNNNNNNNNNNNNNNNNNNNNNNNNNNNNNNNNNNNNNNNNNNNNNNNNNNNNNNNNNNNNNNNNNNNNNNNNNNNNNNNNNNNNNACCCACGCCCUACCAGCCCCCCACCCCCCAAAAAAAAUUUAAGUUUUUUUUAAAAAAAUAUUUUUAACUUCAAAAUUUUAAUUUUUCACCCCUACCUUUGACCCCCACUCCCUACCAGCCCCCACCCCAAAAAAAAUUAAGUUUGUUUUUAAAAAAUAUUUUCAAUUUCAAAAAUCAUUUCUACUCUAGUAAAAUAAAAGAAUUUUUUCAAAACAUUUUUCAUUCAUAAAUCAAACACAAAAAAUCUUUUUCGAAAAAUAUUUUCUACUCACCAAUCAAACAUGAGAAAAUAAGUUAAAAAUCAACUUGUUUUCCAAGAAAACAUUUUCCUUCGUACCAAACACACCCGAAAUUGCAGAAAUUCUACAAUUUGCAAUUUUUUAGUAAUGAGAUGCUUCCCAUUGAUGGUAUUCUGCAGCUGGGAUUCUGUGCCCUAACAAUAAUUGAUUUUGGAUUCCAUGCUCUUCCUCAUACUCUUGCCAAUCUGGAAUUCUUACAUGUUAUGCCCAAAUUGCUGUGUCAUUCCAGUUGGGCAUUCAGUUUUGGACCGGUAUUAUUUUCCCUCUCCCAAUUCUCUUUCUCUCUCAUUCUCUAACCCUAGCUAAUUCUGCCAUUUAUGGAGUUGUACUAUUUCCCUAUCAUUCUAAGGCAUUGCAAUUUGAAUUUCGCACCCAAACACAUUUGUGAUUUCAGCUCUCCAGAUCAUAUGGAUUUUGUGCAAAACAGAUAAUGCAGUUUGAGAUAUUGAGCAUUUUACUUAGCAAUUGGUACAACAAGAGCCUUAAUACUGCUUAUAGAAGAGCCCUAAAAUGCUUUUUUCUUUUUGGAGGAAGUUUGGCUAAGUUUAUAACCUGGUUAAAUUGGCUUUAUUUUGACAAAGUUUUAUUAUUUUAUCCUUUUUUUAAUUCUCCGAAAAUCUUUACUAAAACAAAACGCCUUCAAAGUUACAGGAUUGUUUCUUAGAGAGAUAUUUGUGUCAUUGGAGUACUGAAUGCCACUCAUUUUUUUUUGAAUUAUUGUAUAUGAAUUUUAGUGGUCCAUAAACAACUAGCAAAAGAAGACUUUGGUGCAAAGGAAGAAGACAAAUUUGAGAAGGAGCAAACGCAACAAUUGCCGACCCUGUAAUUGGUGCUACUGUUCAGGUUGUGCUUGAGAAACUGCUUUCUCUCACCAUUGAGGAGGCCAGAAGUUUAAGGAACUGCAAGAAAAAUCUCAGAAUGCUGACAAAAUAUGUAUCCAUCGAUGCACAGGCUGUGGAACAAUGGCUCAAGAUGCUUGAGAGAAUUGCUUAAGAUGCUGAAAAUGUGUUUGACAAAUUCACAUAUGAAUCUCUCAAAGCACAAGUGAUGAGCAUCCAAAACAGCCCAAUGAGAAAGGUCAGUGGUUUCUUUUCUCAUACUGCUUUUAAGAGCAAAAUGACUCGAAAAAUAAAAAAACAUCAAUGAAGAGUUGACGUCUAUCAAUCAGUUAGCCAAAGACCUUGGUCUCCAAUCACUGAUAGUUCCGUCUCAGAAAAUAUUACCUAUUUGAGAAAUAGAUUCCUUAGUAGUUGCUUCGGAUGUCGUAGAGAUAACGAUGUUGCUGAAAUUAAGGAGAAGAUGUUGAACAUGAGAAAGGAAGUUGUUCUGUGCACCAUUCCCAUAGUGGGCAUGGGAGGUUUAGGGAAAACUAGUAUUUGCUAAGAGAAUUUUCAAUGAUGAAGAGAUAGAAAAACACUUUGAAAAGAGAGUUCGGAUGGGUCUACCUGAAAUGUCAGAGACUAAGAGCUUUCUUGAAUAGAUCCCCGAAACAUUGACAGAGAGGAAACUUGAGGUCUCUUGGUAUCACUUUUCUUCAGCCUCACAAGUUCCAACUGGAUUAUGCCAGAACAUAUACCAGAUCUUCUAAGUUGUUGGAUCAGGAGAGGGGUAGCAAGUCCCAGAAAAGAUGGCGGAGAGCAAUUCCUUUGUGUAUUUGGUGAACAAUAUGGAAGAAAAGAAAAGGGAGGUGUUUUGAGGGCAGGUCUAAUACUCUGCAAAAGAUUAAAUGGAAUUGCAUCGUAGAUUUUCACUUUUGGUGUAAACUAGCAAAUGUAGAAUAUGUUCAAUCGGUAGAUUUUUUAGGCUCUUUGUAAUUAGCCUUAGUUAAUAGUUAUAACUCGUUGUUGAUAACUUUUUGGAGGUCUCCAGCAUAUCCUUAAUGCUGAGGAAUACAAAUUACCAGUUUUCAAAAAAAUUGAUGAUAGGAGUGUUUAUUGCAUUCUCGUGAUUCUGAUUAAAUUCCACCUAGUUUCCCCCUUUCUUUUGUUGUAUUAAUGUCUGACCCUUCCUCUCUUCCAACCUGUACUAAAGAAGAAGAAACUCAAUAGUUGUUAUAUCUAUUCAGGUUGUAUCGUGAAGAUAAUAAAGGGUAUACAUGGGAGGUGCCCUUUUUCGAAUUCUGUUCAUGAGUUGCAGCUCAAAUAAAUUCUCACUGAUUAUUUUUAUGAAUUCAGUGGUGUUUUAAAUUUUUCAUAAGCAUCCCCUUUUCAUCUUUGGUGGUAACUAUUUUUGUUCACUAGCUUGAUGAAGGAUCUAAGGUGAUAGUUGGUGAAAAUGUAUUAUUCACUUGCUGUAAUAACAUGAUUUCUAAUCUCGGGGUGCUGGAACAUACAUGUUUCAAAUCGAUGAUGAGCAUGUUAUAGAUGCCACAAGGGCUGGAAGCAUUGCACAUUCAAUCAAUUGUUUUUUGAAGAACGUAAAAUCCUUCUUACCUAGUCCCUUUUCCUUUGAUGGUUUUUUUCUCUUUGGGUAAAUUGUUGUUUCCACAAUAGCACCUGCAUUACAUGAACAAAGAUGAUGUGAGGCUCAUUCUCUUGGGGUAAUGUGCUGUUUUGCGCCUGAAAACAGACUUGUGGAACUGGUCUUGUUGUUUGGAAUGGAAACUCAUCAGGCUUGUGUCUACGAGGACUGAGGAACUUGAUUUCUUAAGCAUUAUUCAAAAUCAUAAUGGAAAGUUUGCCGAAUUUUUUAGUAAUUUGGUAAUGUUUUCCUUUGUUGGUUCUAAACUGCCUUUUUUUCAACAAACAACUUCACUAUGUUAAUACAUAAUAGGUCUCAGACAAUAACAUGUAUUAGCAGGUAAUCAGAUUUAACUUUUUCAGAUUAACAUAACCCUCAUACUAUAAUUCUAUUCAGAGCGUCAGUAAUGAGAAGGGAAAUAGAUAAAUUAGCUAAACAGUUCUAAACUGCCCAAUAUAUGUCAACUAUUAAUUGGAAAGUGACUGCCAUUCAUUAGAAAUAAAAACAACACAGAACCACCACCCAAAAAUAUUUAUUUAAAGGAUGAUUAGCUAUUAUUCCACAAAAGAAUUCUUUAUUCAAAUUAUUGUCUAUGAAUUAUUCUCUUUCUUGUAGAGGCUGGCAAACAACUAUCAAAAGAAUACUUCUGCAAGAAAUUUGAGAAGAUUUUGGUGUAUAGAGGAAGAAAACAACUUUGUAAAGAGCAUUGCAAUGAUGGCCGAUCUUGUAAUUGGUGCUACUGUUAAAGUUGUGCUUGAUAAACUGCUUUCUCUCACUAUUGAGGAGGCUAAAAUUUUAAGGAACUACAAGAAAAAUCACAGAAUGCUGACAAAAUAUGUAUCCAUGAUCAAGAUCUCAUUCAUGAUGCUGAAAAACGACAAGUUGAUGAUCAGGCUGUUGAACAAUGGCUCAAGAUGCUUGAGAGAGCUGCUGAAGAUGCUGAAAACGUGUUUGAUGAAUUCAGAUAUGAAUCUCUCAAAGCACAUGUGAUGAACAUCCGAACCAAACUAAUGGAAAAGGUCAGCAACUUCUUUUCUCAUACUGCUUAUAAGUACAAAAUGUCUCGAAAAAUCAACAACAUCAAUGAAGAGUUGAGGGCUAUCAAUCAGUUAGCCAAUGACCUUGGUCUCAAAUCACUGAUGGUUCCUUCUCGGAAAAUACUUCCGAUUCGAGAAACAGAUUCCGUAGUUGUUGCUUCGGAUGUUGUUGGUAGAGACAAAGAUGUUGCUGAAAUAAAAGAGAAGAUUUUGAACAUGAGAAAUGAUGUUGUUCUGUGCACCAUUCCCAUAGUGGGUAUGGGGGGUUUAGGGAAAACAACUGUGGCUAAGAGAAUUUUCAAUGACCAACACAUCAAGCAGCAGUUCGAAAAGAGAGUUUGGUUGUGCCUACCUGAAAUGUCAGAAACUAAGAGCUUUCUUGAAUUGAUCCUCGAAUCACUGACAAAGAGGAAAGGUGAGGUCCAAAGCAGAGAUAUAAUAGUCAAGACGCUACAAGAUGCACUGGGACAAAAAAAGUAUUUGCUUGUCCUGGAUGAUUUGUGGUGUGUUGACUCUACAUCGUGGCAUGAGUUCAUGGACACCUUGAAAGGAAUCAAUACAUCCAGAGGAAUCUGCAUUCUCGUGACUACUCGUAUCAAACAAGUGGCAUCCACAAUAGCAGUAGAUCUUCAUAUGUUGGGGAAAUUAACAGACUAUCAUUGUUGGUCCAUUUUCAAACAAAGAGCGUUUGUUGGUGGGGAAGUUCUGGAGGAAAUACUGAGCAUGGAAAACAAGAUUGUUGAAAUGUGUCAAGGUCUACCGUUGGCUGCAAGUGUGUUGGGAGGCCUCUUAUUCAACAAGGAUAAACAUGACUGGCAAGCAAUUCUUGAUGGCAACCCCCUUGUUGUAGGGGAAGAUGAUCUUCGGGAAAAUAGCAUAAAGAAGAUCCUAAAACUAAGCUAUGAUUAUCUAUCAUCUCCACAUCUGAAGAAAUGUUUUGGUUACUUUGCAAUGUUUCCAAAAGAUUUUGAGUUUGAGAAGGACCAACUAAUCCAACUCUGGAUGGCUGAAGGGUUUCUUUGUCCAUGUCAAGAGACCACUGUGAUGGAAGACGUCGGGAACAAGUUUUUCCAACUCUUGUUGCAAUAUUCUUUGUCGCAAGAUGUUAAGCUAGAUGAGCUCAACAAUAUAACACUGUAAGAUGCAUGAUCUUGUGCAUGAUUUGGCUGGAGAUAUUUUAAAGUCUAAACUAUUUGAUCAAAAAAGUGUAGGAGGAGAAAAUCUUUCUCAAGUCCAAUACUUUGGAUGGGACUCACCAAGUGAUAAAAUAGAUAAGAUAAACAAGUCAGGACAUUUGUGCACAUUUUUCUGGAAAAGAAAUAUAUCUGAAGAUAUGUUGUUGAGCUUUCAGUUCUUGAGAGUUAUAAAUUUGUCCAGGUCAGGCAUUGAGGUAUUGUCAGCCAAAAUCGGCAAGCUAAUAUACUUGAGAUAUCUUGAUCUCUCCAGCACUGAGGUCAAAGACUUGCCCAACUCCGUUUGCAAGCUCUACAAUUUGCAAACAUUUAGAGCCAAUGGUUGUUCUUCACCGAGGAAGCUCCCAGAAGAAAUAGCAAAUAUGAUAAGUUUGAGACACAUACAUUACCAAUCUGAAAUUGAUUAUCAGUUUCAGAUGCCACUUAAUAUGGGGCAAUUGAUCAGUCUUCAGACGCUACAAUUUUUCUAUGUAGGUGUAGAGAAAGGUCGUCAAAUAGAAGAAUUAGGUCGUUUGAAAAACCUUAGAGGUGAAUUGACAAUCAAACGUCUACAAUUAGUCGGCAAUAAAGAAGAGGCUCAAACUGCAUAUUUACUGGAGAAACCAAAUAUCUACAAGCUGGUGUAUUUAUGGUCCCAUGAUGAAUCAGAAGGCUGUGAGAUCAAUGAUGAGCAUGUGUUGGAUGGUCUUCAACCACAUCCUAACUUGAAAACCUUUGUAGUGGAGAACUAUUGGGGGACUAUAUUUCCUCUUGGUUCAAUGAAGAAUUGAUGCCAAAUUUGGUCAUGUUGAAAUUAAGUGGUUGCAAGAGGUGCAAAGAUAAUCUAUCGCUUGGUCAACUGAAGUUCCUUCGGCAUCUUGAGCUGAUAGGAUUCCUUGAAUUGGAAUGCAUUGGACCUACAUUUUAUGGUGUUGAUAAUGGAUCAAGCAGCAAUAAUGGCAAAAUUCAAGUGUUCCCGUCAUUGAAAGAACUAGUAUUGAAGGAUAUGCAUAGCCUAAUAGAGUGGAAGGGAGAUGAAGUUGGAGUAAGAAAUGUUUCCUGGGCUUGAGAAGUUGACAAUUACAGAGUGUUCACUGUUAAAAAGUGCUCCAACUCAAUUGGAAACCCUGCGUGAAUUAGAAAUUGAAAGAGUUGACAGUGAAAUGCCAUUGUUGAACUUGUGCAGCAACUUAACAUGUCUUGUGGAUCUCGAUGUCAGUGAUGUGAAAGAGCUCACUUGUCUACCUGAUGAGAUGCUACGCAAGAACGUUUCUCUUCAACGCCUGUGGAUCUCAGAUUGCAGAAAGUUUUGUGAAUUGCCACAGAGCUUGUACAAUCUCCAUUCCCUUGAGAGCUUACGAAUAUCCUUCUGCCCCAAUUUUAGUUCUUUUCCUGUUCCCAGUGGAGAGAAUUAUUUAACUUCCCUCCGAAGGCUUCACUUACUUUAUUGUGAUGGAUUGACCAGUUUACCAAAUGGAAUGCUAGAACAAUGCCGGUCUCUAAAGAUUUUGAGGGUCAGCAACUGUAAGAACUUGGUUUCCUUCCCUUUACAUGUGUGGGAAGUACCUUCACUUUCCAUUUUGGAUAUGUCAAAUUGUCCCAAAUUGAUUAGUCUACCCACAGGAGGCCUUCACCAUCUCACUGGGUUAUGGGAUUUGAAAAUUGGUCCUUUCUCAGAGAUUGUGGAUUUUGAGGCAUUCCAAUUGAUUUUUAAUGGCAUUCAGCCGCUAUUGUCCCUUCAUACGUUGUGGGUGUACGGACAUGGGCACUGGGAUUCUCUUCCCUAUCAGCUUAUGCAACUCUCUUCCCUAAUUGAGAUCAGAUUAAGUGAUUUCGGUAUCGAUGAUCUUCCUCAUAGUCUUUGCAAUCUUACUUCUCUUGAAACAUUACAUCUAGUGGGGUGCAAACGGCUACAACAUGUGGACUUCAGAGAUGCCAUGCCCAAAUUACAUUAUCUUGAGAUCUGUGGUUGUCCAUUGUUAGAAGCUCUGUCGGAUGGGCUCAGCAACCCUGUUUGUUUGGAAAUGUUAAUUUUUUGGAACUGCGAAAUACUGGAGCGUCUGCCAUCCAGAGAUGUCAUGCGAAGCCUCACGAAAUUACAGUUCCUGAAAAUUAAAGACUGCCCACAGUUAGAAGAAAGUUGCACCAAUUGGAGUAGCCCAAACUCCCAGUGGUCCAACAUUUCCCAUAUUCCAAAAAUUAAAGUAGGUGGGAGGAUAUUCAGAACUUAACAAUUUCAAAUUUCAAAAUUCUAUUCCUGCUCAACACAAAUGAAGAACCCUAAUUUUUCCCUAUAAAUACUUACAUUUCAGAGCUUAUUUGGGAGGAUUUUUUUCAAAAUCUGGCAGCCCCUCACCUCUAAAAUUUUUAGUUAUUUCUCCUCUAAACCAUCUCUUCUAUUUUCGUAUUUUACCAUUUUCUUUGGCAUUCCAGUCGCAGCAAUAGUUUGUGUGUUCGUUUCGACCAUUAACGGUGGUCAUCAGAGUUAGUAAGUAGAUCUAAGAUCGAGACCGCAAGCCCCCGUUCACUACCCCGCAGCAGGUGAUCUUUGUCCCUUUACUUUUACUUCUAUUAUUGUCUCCGUGAAAAUGUUAUACCUAUUGUAAGAAAAACCAUGCGUCAAGUAUAAUACUCACUUAUUUUUAGCUAUCAUGAAAGUGAUGUUUAAAAAUUAUGUUUUUUUUUAUUUAGUUUGAGGCCUGGAGAGAUUUGAGUUCAUAUCUCCUUCACAUUUUAAUUUAAAGAAUGAUUUGUUUUGGAAGGGGUUGGUGAUAUGUAAUCUGUUUUUGGUUCAAAGUUUGGUAUUUAUUUGUAUCUCUAUGUGAUAAAUAGAUAUUGUUUUCGCUAUUCUUAUGUUUUAAGAUUAUUAUGUUGUGUUGAGAAUCAUGUCAUAGAUAUAUCUAUUUAUUUGUUUUAUAUGCAGAGAAAUUGAAUACAAACUUGCCGCAUUUAUUAGUAAUCUUGGUAUUUAGAAGCUGUGGCCUUAUUUAUGCUUAAACUCGCCAAUGAAUUUUAAAUUGAAUAAAAAGCAAAAUCCUUGUGCUAAAGUUUAUUGCUAUAUUUUUUUUAUUUUUUCUUUUUCUCAACAGUAUGUAUUAAAAUAUAUUUUGGAAAGAAAAGUUGCUUAUUGGAUUCAGAUUUGGUUCUAAUUUGACUUGUGAAUGCUACUUUUAUAAAUAUUAUAUAUAGUUCGAGCUUUAGUUUCUUCUUACAUUGUAUAUUUGAACCAAAAUGUGCUAUACAUUGUAACUCAAUAAUAUUACCUUAGAGACCUUUCUAUAAUUAACUAAAUAGGCCUUAGAUAUUAAAUAAAUAUAUUUGUUUAUAUAUUGUAUCCAGGUGAAGGUUUUGUUUCUUGUUUAAUAUGUUGUGAUGUGUUGUGAUGAUUGCUAUCCUUUAACGAGAAUGGUAUUGGUUUAAUUUAAAGGCUUUGAGAUAUUUAUUCACUGUAAGCAUGCUUGUAAAUAUUAGUUAAAGAAAUUUUAUUUUCUUCCUAUAGAAGAAUGUAUAAGUUAGUUGGGUGUUACAAUUUAUUUCAUACUUACUAUUAAGGUACUUGUGUUGGAAUUGAAUAAAUAGAAUGUAUAUUUGUUUCACCUAUUAGUUACCUGCAUGUCUAAUCCUUUUAUUUCUCUUAUUGUUGUACAUGUACACUUUGGGAGGAAAAAACGGAGUUUUGAUUAGGACUCUACCAAUUAUUGAGUCUCAUAGACUCAACAUUAUCCUCACACUUGCACAUGGAGUCUUCACUACAUCUUUUGACCAUUCGAAAUUGCAAGCAAAACAAGUGGUCCUAUCUUGGAGUCACUUAUGGCUACUUACAUUUUGCAUUAAUUGUUUACGUGUUUUUCUUUACGUGUUAUACUUGCUUGUGUGAUUUAGAUAUUUCUAGUUUGGAUUCAUGAUAAUUGACUUAAUAUAGAUGUUUGGAUUUGGGUUCCUUUAGUUAGAAACUAAACCUUAUUAGUUACUUUACCUUUUAUAAACUUCAUUUGGCAAACCUUUUUUAAAAAAUACUUCUUUUUGCACCAUUUUAAUCUCACUAGAUUUAUUAAGUUUGGUUCAAACUUGGCAAUGUCUUACAAAGAAAAUUUGUUGUUCUAAACUCUUAUUUUUCUAAAACUUUUUCUAACGGGAGCACCUUGUCAGUCAAUGAGCAAGUGUCUAUUUUUUUAAUUACUUAUUUUUAGCCAUGGAUUUUUAGCCACGGAUUUAAGAUUUUACUCUUUCUUAAAUCUUUUUCAUUCUAAUAAAUUGCAAAAGAGCUUUUAAAAUAAAAAAUGUUUUCCAACUUGGUUAUUCAAUCACUUAAUAUUUAGCACUCAUAUCUUUCUUUUAAAAUUAAUUAACCUAAGUUUGGUCGGUAAUCGUAUUUUUAACGAAUCUUAAAGGAUGCCUUACCCCCUUCCCUUUAGGAUAAUUAGAACCCUUACCUAGAAUCUUAAGUUUUAGUUUUACUUAGUUAAAUAUUUAGGUGUCCUAAUUCACCAUAAUUAAUUAGGUGGCGACUUCUUAAGUUAAUUAAUUUGGAAAUCACCAAUAUGUUGUACACGUUUUGACCUCGAGUUAAUGAGGUAUAGCACACACCCCCCUAAAGUUAGGUGUGGUGCAACAACGCCUAACUUGGAUAAACACCAAAAGAAGGCAGGCUUGGGUAGCGGCUUUGUGAGAGUGUCUGUAAUUUGAUCCCCGACCAUAACAAACUUAGGUUAAUAAUUAAGUUUUUAACAUCUGUUUGUUUCAUUUUUGUUGUGUGUUUUAAUGCCUAAAUGAUUUACUUAUCAUGCUUAUGUGAAUAUAAACUGCUUAUUUGUAGUAGCUUUAUAUAAAUUGUUUAUUUGUUACUGUUAUGAAACACCAAUAUUAUCACAAAAAAAUCUUGGCGUUUGCGAGACUUGAUAUCGUAAUUCAGUCAAUAGAUUGUGUACCCAAGUAAGUUCAGAGAGUGCAUUGGCUACCGAUUUGUAUUCUGCUUCAAUAGAGGACCGAGCAACUAAUUGUUGCUUUUUAGAGGACCAACAGAUCAGAUUUGGUCCCAAGAAGAGUAUGUAACCAGAUGUGGAUAUUCUGUCAGAGGGAUCACCUGCCCAAUCAGCAUCGGCGUACAUAUACAUAUUACUAUUAGAGUGGCUAGAGAUUUGUAGGCACGACGUUGAUGAUGCCUUGAGGUAUCGAAACACCUUUUUUACUGCUUUCCAAUGCUCCAGACUUGGGGAUUGCAUAAACUGUGAUAGUUUGUUAACUGCAAAGGCAAUAUCAGGACGCGUGAAUGAUAAGUAGUGCAAUUUACCAAUGGUGCGUUGAUACAAGGUUGUAUCGGCAUGAGGUGAACCAUCGGCUGCUUUGGGUGGUAAACUUGAGCACAUGGGUGUCGUAACUCCUUUACAGUUGGCCAUAUCCACAUCUCAAGUAUGUAUCUGGAUUGUGAAAAGACAAUCCCAUUUGGAACAUUUUGACUUCGAUCCCCAAAAGAUAGUUGAGUUCACCCAGGUUCUUUAGAGAGAACUUGUAAGCCAGAGAGUUGAUUACAUGUGUGACCAAGUUUGGGUAAUUCCCAGUAAUGAGGAUAUCAUCAACAUACAAUAGAAUAUACAUCGUGACAGCUUCAGAUGUAAAAAUAAACAGAGAAGCAUCUGAUUCAGACUUAACAAACCCAAUUUUAGUCAAGUGAAAUUUGAGAGCUUCAUACCAUGCACGAAGAGCUUGUUUUAGGCCAUAAAUGGCCUUUUGGAGAUGGCAGACAUGAUUGGGAAAAUCAGGGUUGACAUAGCCUUUCGGCUACGCCAUGAAUACUUGCUCCUGUAAGUUACCUUACAAAAAUGCAUUAUUUACGUCAAGCUGCUGCACUUUCCAAUUAUUUUGAACUGCAAUAGAAAGUACAAUUCUGAUGGUGGUUGGUUUGACAACCGGACUGAAAGUUUCAUGAAAGUCCAGUCCUGGACAUUGUGUGAAACCUUUUGCAACUAAUUGCGCCUUGUAGCUGUCAAUAGAACCAUCAUCUUUCCUUUUAAUGUGAAAUAACCACUUACAAUCAACAACAUUAUUUAUCGGGUCCCUAAGUACUAGUUCCCAAGUUUGGUUUUUCAUUAAGGCUUCAUAUUCCAGAUCCAUUGUAUUCUUCCAUUCAAUGUGCUUAACUGCUUGCUUAAAGGUAUUUGGAGUGGGAGAAAGGUAGGACAAGAAGCUGAAUUUUUUCUUUGGUGUGAAGAUAUUAUUUUUGGACCUUGUGACCACACCGGAUGGUGGAGGGACAGCAACUGGUGACAUAAUUGUUAGCUGUUGCGGUGGAUGUUGGUUGAUUGGUGGCCGACGGGAAUAAUAUAAUGGUUGAGAGGUGUUGUGGGCUGCUUCAUUAAAUAGUGAAUGAGGUUGGGAAGAGAUAAGAAUCAUACCUGAUGAAGUGGAGACUGCUGGUAGUUGCCUUUCAAUUAUGGACUCUGGAGUGUUUGAAUGAGAGGGAACUGUUAGGGUGAUAGGAAUAGGAGGCGGAAGAGUUGGAACAAGAUUGAAGUCCAAAUUUAAUUGGACUUCCGGAUGAGUAUCCUUACCGACUUGGGACUCUAUGAUUUCCCAUUAUAACGUGGAAAACAUAUUUUUCAAGUGUGAGAACAUUUGAGUGAAAGGAAAAAUAUCUUCACAAUAUUGAACAUCACGACUGACGAAAAUUUUUGAGUGCAUAGGAUUAAAGCAGAGGUGUGCAUGAUGAACAAUAGAAACUCCUAAGUAGACACACAGUGUAGAUCUAGGCUGAAAUUUAUUUUUUGUAUAUGGCUUAAGCCAUGGAUAACAUAGACAACAAAAAAUUUUCAGCGAAGAGUAUUUUGGCGGUUCGCCAAACAAUUUUUUAUAAGGAGAAUCAUUAUUCAAGUCAGGUGUAGGUAGUCUAUUUAUGAGAUAGACAGCAUGGUGACAGGCAAAUGACCAUAGUUUAGAUGAUAGUGAGGCUUCAUUGAGAAUAGUUCGAGUUGUUUUGACAAUGUGACGAUGUCGUCGUUCAGCAAUUGCAACUCAUUGGGGCGUGUAGGGUGGGGAGAUCAAAUGUUGAAUGCCAUGGCAUUGUAGGUACUGUUUAAGACUUGUGUAUUCAUCCCCUCCAUCAGUAUAAAGUGAGACAAUUUUGUGUUUGGAAAUUUUUUCCACUAAAGGAUGAAAGUUUGUAAAAAUUGAAGCGACUUCACUUUUGUUUUUGAUUGUAUACAACCAAGUGUAUUUGGUGUAAUGAUCAACAAAAAUGCAGUAAUACAACUUUUUAUCAAUGGAUAAAAUGGGUGAUGGACCCCAUAAAUCACUAAACAAAGUUUGAAGUGGUGCAUUACUAUUUAAAGUGAGUCGUUGAAAUGGCAAACGAUGAGCUUUAUUUGAUGAGCAUGAAUUACAAAAAUGAAACUUUUCUUUGGUGGAAAAGGGAAGUGAAAAUUUAUUCAGUACUAAGUCUAGGAUUUUCAGAUAACGGUGACCCAAGCGACGAUGCCACAAUUGACGAGAAACUUUGGUGGAGGUGAAGUUGGCGGAAGGUGACACAUGAUCCCUCUGUGGCCACUCAUAGAGUCCGUGUUUAUUCUAGCCUUGUACCAGCAGUCUCCGAGUUUUGAGAUCCUUCACAAGAAAUGAGUGUGGGAAAAAUUCGAUUGAGGUCAGAUUGUCAGUGCAAAACUUAGCAACAGAAAUAAGGUUCUUUUUGAUAGCUGGAGCACAAAGAGUGUUAGAGAGCAUGAAAUUGGAGUUAGAAGCCUUAAUUUGAGUAAAAUCAGUGUGAGUAAUAAGAAUAGUUUUACCGUCACCUAUGGACAUUUCCUCAUUGCCAGUGUAUUCUUCAAGAUUAUCUGACUCAAUUGUGACAUGAUGAGUUGCUCCAGAGUCGAUGAUCCAAGGAUUUGCAUUUGAGUGAUGAUUUGACACAAAGUUGACCUUAGCUUCAAAGUGGUUGUGCGAUUUUGAGCGACACACAUCAGCUGUGUGACCGAUCUUUUGGCAAAGUUGGCAUUUUACUGCUUGCCUGGGUAGUCUCCCAUUCUGUUGAUUUCCAGGGACCGCCUGUCGUGGAGCUUGUGGUCUUGAAGAUUGAUUUGGGAAGCGAUGAUUAUUUUUUGAUGUUGGGGCUGGAAGUUGGUCCUUUGUGCAACUGCAGCUGUAAUGAUAGAGGAUGACCUGUCAAUAUCUUGAUGUUUGAGAAAGAGUUCAUGGUCCGUGAGUUUCUGGAACAACUCCUCAAAGCUUAGGGCUGUUUCGCGCGCUCUUAUAGCGGCAGUGAUUUCACGGUACUCAUGACCUAGGCCACUCAAAAUCUUGACUGCUAGUUCAUCAUUAUCCACCGGAGAGCCCGUUACUUUGAAAGCAUUAGCAAUUGAUCUGAUCUCUUGUAGGUAAGUAGCAACUGUCUUGGAGGCCUUUUUCAUGUUUUGCAACUGAUCUCGUAAGCUGAAGAUGCGAGUGUGACUCCUAUUGGCAUAAGCUAUAUGAAGGAGAUCCCAAGCUAUUUUUGCCGAAGAGGCAGUUGCAACAAUAGGAGCAAUGGUGGGGUCAACGGAUGCCAUCAUUGCCUGUUGAAUUAGUUGGUCCUGGCAAAACCAUAGCUCAUAUUCAGGAUUGGAGAUGGUACUAUCAGUUUGUGUGAUAGUGGUUGGCGGAGCAGAUUGGCACCAGUGAGAUGCCCAAGGAGCUUGUGUCCAUUGAGUAGCAUCACUAGUUGCGCCUUCCAGGUGCUAAAGUUGAGGUUACCUUGCAGUUUGAUAGGUAAUUGGGCAGCUGGAUUGAACUGUACCACAUGAGUGGUAGUCGGAACUGCAGCAGCCCUAUCAUUGGUGGUAGCAGGAACAACCAUGUUUGGACGCAAAGAGAGGAAAAAAACUUUGGAUCGGACUCGUGAGAGAGGGGGUCUAAUACCAUAAGGAGAUUGAGAAUCAAAGCAAACUUGAAUGAAUCUUAUUCAAAUGUUACAUAACUUAAAUACAGGUAAGACGUAACUAACUUGACUAAUUCUAAGGAACUGUUCUAACAACUUAAUAUGUAACUAAGUUGACUAAAACUAAGGAACUACUUUAACAACUUAAUCUAAAUCUACUCUAACAACCUGAUAAGAAUUAAUAACAAACUAACAAACUAGUGAGUAUGUCAACAAUAACUUUUAUGAAUAGAUGACACACUUGUCGUUACUUUCACUUCACAGGACAAUUUCUCCGUUCAUUAAACUUUCGUCAUUGAUGGACUUCAACAGAGAUAGUUGUCAUGAAUCAUUUAGCAAAUAAUGCCCCAUUGGCUCUUAAAAUGUCCUUAGCAACAUCUGCUCAUCUUAGCAGGUCUUGCGUUCUCCUUUUUUUAGUGGUUACUUGUAAUGAUUUUCUUCUCCAUUCUCCCAAGGAGGAAACGUGUGCCAAAACUGACUUUUUACCAUUUCUGGAAUUAUUUCAGAUUCAUGUUUGAAACACGAGCAUGGACCUCGUCGAAAUGGUACUUGUGUUAGAUGUGUUACAGUUUCAUAAUUGGCAAGGGAAAUUGCAUUCGGUAAACUCGUUUGCAUUUGGCUGAAACUGGAUUUGAGAUAUUAUAUCCUUGAAUGUGGAAAAUCCCGGAAGUGAAACUAGUAGACCUUUGAUGUUGGUCUAAUUCUAAACUGAAUUAACUGGUAGUGUUGAAUAGCAUUCAAAGUAGAAAGAGCAACUUAUGCAAGUCACUUUGCUAGAUUUCUCAGCCAUGGUUGUAUGCUGUAGAACAACUUGUGUCUUGAGAUUUUUAUUUUAGUGGUCUCUCAGAAUUGCCUUGCACGUUUAUUCCAAAAUACCUAAUACAAAUUUUGUAUUGCAAAUGAUAAAUUUUCAAAGACACAUAUAUUGUUAGAUUUUUUUUAUGUUAUAAAAUAACAAUCAAAACAUACAAAAAAAUUACAACUUUUUCACAGCAUAAGUUUAUAUGUUUAUAUCUCUACUCUGCUUAUUCAACCAAGAUUUCCAUCUAAGGUAUGCCCAUUACACCAAAAUAACAACUUUUUCGCAGCAUGAGUUUAUAUGUAUCAUAGUAUACCUUAAGUUAUGGCAUAUGCCCCUGAUAUUGAAAUAACAAAUAACUUUCCCAUGAUACAAGUUUACAUGUUUGUAUCAUAAUAUUCCACAAGUUAUGUUGUAUGCUAAGAGCCGGGAGGGCAUAAUGCAAAAAAUAAAAUAAAAUAUAAACCCAAUUUUUUUCUCUAAAAAGGAUAAAGAAUGCAUAUGCCCCAAAAGCAUAACUCCAGUUUCUGAACACUACAACAAAUUUUAGAAAAAACUACACAACUUAUGUUGGAAUAUUUAAUUUAUACAGAACUUAUGCCAAGCGAAGCAAAAGUUAUUUAAACUUAUGCUGAGCGAAUUAGGUCUCGACAGAUAUAUUUUGGUCCCCCAAAUUUUCAUAAUUAAACACCAGUCUGUUUGAAGGGCAAUACGUGCAAAAACUUGAUUUGAAUGUGACUUCCUUUUUGGUAUCCUUAUUUUCUUGUGGCAGACUCAUAACAGACUGUCAUUCAUUAGAAAUAAAAACAACACACAAAUUAUUUAUUUAAAGGAUGAUUAGCUGUUAAUCCAAAAAAAACAUUCUUUAUUCAAAUUAUUCUCUUUCUUGUAGAGGCCGGCAAACAACUAGCAAAAGAAUACUUAUGCAAGAAAUUUGAGAAGAUUUGGUGUAUAGAGGAAGAAAACAACUUUGUAAAGAGCAUUGCAACGAUGGCCGAUCUUGUAAUUGGUGCUACUGUUAAAGUUGUGCUUGAUAAGCUGCUUUCUCUCACUAUUGAGGAGGCCAAGAGUUUAAGGAACUGCAAGAAAAAUCUAAGAAUGUUGACAAAAUAUGUAUCCAUGAUCCAAGCUCUCAUUCAUGAUGCUGAAAGAUGACAAGUUGAUGAUCAGGCUGUUGAACAAUGGCUCAAAAUGCUUGAGAGAGUUGCUGAAGACGCUGAAAACGUGUUUGACGAAUUCAGAUAUGAAUAUCUCAAAGCACAAGUGAUGAACAUCCGAACCAAACUAAUGGAAAAGGUCAGCAACUUCUUUUCUCAUACUGUUUUUAAGUACAAAAUGUCUGAAAAAAUCAACAACAUCAAUGAAGAGUUGAGGGCUAUCAAUCAGUUAGCCAAAGACCUUGGUCUCCAAUCACUGAUGGUUCCUUCUCGGAACAUAGUACCAAUUCGAGAAAUAGAUUCCGUAGUUGUUGCUUCGGAUGUUGUUGGUAGAGACAAAGAUAUUGCUGAAAUAAAGGAGAAGAUUUUGAACAUGAGAAAGGAAGUUGUUCUGUGCACCAUUCCCAUAGUGGGUAUGGGUGGUUUAGGGAAAACAACUAUGGCUAAGAGAAUUUUCAGUGACAAACACAUCAAGCAGCAGUUCGAAAAGAGAGUUUGGUUGUGCCUACCUGAAAUGUCAGAAUCUAAGAGCUUUCUUGAACAAAUCCUUGAAUCAUUGACAGAGAGGAAAGUUGAGGUUCAAAGGAGAGAUUUAAUAGUUAAGAAGCUACAAGAUGAAUUGGAAGGAAAAAAGUAUUUGCUUGUCCUAGAUGAUAUGUGGCGUGUUGACUCUACAUCGUGGCAUGAGUUCGUGGACACCUUGAAAGGAAUAAAUACAUCCAGAGGAAACUGCAUUCUUGUGACUACUCGUAUGAAGCAGGUGGCAUCCAUAGUAGCAGAAGAUCUUCAUAUGUUGAGAAGAUUAGCAAGAGAUCAUUGUUGGUCCAUUUUCAAACAAAGAGCGUUUGUCGGUGGGAGGUUCCGAAGGCGGAGGAAAUACUGAGCGUGGAGACCAAGAUUGUUGAAAUGUGUCAAGGUCUGCCGUUGGCUGCAAGUGUGUUGGGAGGCCUCUUAUGCAACAAGGAAAAACAUGAAUGGCAGGCAAUUCUUGAUGGAAACCACCUUGUUGCAGGUGAAGAUGAUAAAGGGGAAAAUAGCAUAAAGAAAAUCCUAAAACUCAGCUAUGAUUAUCUACCAUCUCCACAUCUGAAGAAAUGUUUUGCUUACUUUGCUAUGUUUCCAAAAGAUUUUGAGUUUGAGAAGGACCAACUAAUCCAACUCUGGAUGGCAGAAGGGUUUCUUCGUCCAUGUCAAGAGACCCCCGUGAUGGAAGACGUCGGGAACAAGUUUUUCCAACUCUUGUUGCAAUAUUCCUUGCUGCAAGAUGUUAAGAUAGAUGAGCUCAACAAUAUAACACAUUGUAAAAUGCAUGAUCUUGUGCAUGAUUUGGCUGAAGAUAUUUUAAAGUCUAAACUAUUUGAUCAAAAGAGUGUUAGAGGAGAAAAUCUUUCUCAAGUCCGAUACUUUGGAUGGAACUCACCAAGUGAUCAAAUGGAUAUGAUAAAUGAGCCAGGACGUUUGUGCACAUUGUUCUGGAAAAGAAAUCUAUCUGAAGAUAUGCUAUUGAACUUUCAGUUCUUGAGGGUUUUAAAUUGUCCAGGUCAGGCAUCAAGGAGUUAUCAGCCAAAAUCGGCAAGCUAAUAUACCUGAGGUAUCUUGAUCUCUCCGACACGCAGAUCGAAGCCUUGCCCAAUUCCAUUUGCAAGCUCUACAAUUUGCAAACAUUUAGAGUCAAUGACUAUUCUUCACUCAGGAAGCUUCCAGAAGAAAUGGCAAAUAUGAUAAGUUUGAGACACAUAUAUUGCAGCUAUCAUUACAAAUUUGAUAUGCAGAUACCACUUAAUAUGGGACAAUUGACUUGUGUUCAAACCCUAGAGUUUUUCAAGGUGGGUUCAGAGAAAGGUCGUCGAAUAGAAGAAUUAGGUCAUCUGAAAAACCUUAGAGGUGAAUUGACGAUCAGAGGUCUGCAAUCAGUCAGAACUAAAGAAGAGGCUCGAGCAGCAUAUUUACAGGAGAAACCAAAUAUCUACAAGCUGACAUAUUUGUGGUCCCAUGAUGAAUCAGAUGUAUGUUAGAUCAAUGAUGAACAUGUGUUGGAUGGUCUUCAACCGCAUCCUAACUUGAAAACCUUAGUAGUGGAGAACUAUUUGGGGACUAUAUUUCCUUCAUGGUUCAGUAAAGAAUUGCUACCGAAUUUGGUCAUGUUGAAAUUAAGUGGUUGCAAAAGGUGCAAAGAAAUUCCAUCGUUUGGCCAACUGAAGUUCCUUCGGUAUCUUGAGCUGAUAGGAUUCCUUGAAUUGGAAUGCAUCGGACCUACAUUUUAUGGUGUUGAGAUUAAUGGCAAUAUCCAAGUGUUCCUCUCAUUGAAAGAACUUGUAUUGGAGGAUAUGCGUAGCCUUAUUGAGUGGAAGGGAGAUGAAGUUGGAGAAAGACUGUUUCCCACGCUUGAGAAGUUGAGGAUUACAAAGUGUCCACUGUUAAAAAGUACUCCAACUCAAUUUGAAAUCCUGCGUGAAUUAAGAAUUGAAGGAGUUGACAGUGAAAUGCCAUUGUUGAACUUGUGGAGCAACUUGACAUCUCUUGUGAAUCUUUUUGUCAGUAACGUGAAAGAGCUCACUUGUCUACCAGAUGAGAUGCUACUGUUGAAAAGUGAUUCAUAUACUUGACCAAGUCUUCAGGAGUUUGUUAGUUAGUUUCCUUUAUCUUAGCAUGUUUAGAUAUUGUGGCAGAUUAGUAGCUAAUUAGUAGUUAGUGGUUUAGUGGACCUAGAUUUUAGUAUUUUCUGUUUUACAGUAAGCCUAUUUAUAGGCAGACUUGUUGCUUCCAUUAUAAAUUAGAAACAAAACUUUGCAGUAGCUUUUACUUCUGUUUUUUGCUAUAUUUUUCUGUUCACUUUCUCCUUUACUUCCUUUUUUCUUUCCAACAAAUCUGGUAUCAAGAGCAAGGUUCCUUUCUGGAAAGUGUGAGGAAAAAUGGCAGUAAAUGGUAUUUCAUCAUCUUCCCAACAACUCAUGCCAAUUUUUACUGGUGAAAAGUAUGAGUUUUGGAGUAUCAAAAUGAAAACUCUUUUCAAAUCACAAGGAGUUUGGGAUUUGGUUGAAGCAGGCUUCGUGGAGCAAUCAGACUCUGACGAAGAGACGGAAAAAUUGAAAGAGAUAAAAAAGAAGGAUGCGAAAGCACUAUUCCUGAUUCAACAAGCAGUCCACGAUACAAUUUUUUCAAGAAUUGCAGCAGCAACUACAUCUUCGCAGGCAUGGAAGAUUUUGAAGAAGGAAUUUCAAGGUUCAGCUAAGGUGAUUACGGUAAAAUUACAGACUUACCGUCGUGACUUUGAAACUCUUUCUAUGAAAAGUAAUGAAUCUGUUCAAACUUAUUUGUCUAGAGUUUCUUCUCUUGUUAAUCAAAUGAAGCCUUAUGGUGAAAUCAUAUCUGAAGAAACGGUUGUAGCAAAAGUUUUAAGGAGUCUUACUUCAAAGUUUGAACAUAUUGUUGUUGCGAUUGAGGAAUCUCAUGACUUAUCUGAGUAUACUUUUGAUGAACUAAUGAGUUCUUUGCAAGCUCAUGAAGAGAGGCUCCUAAGAUCGCAUGAAAAAAAUGAAGAGAAGGUAUUCCAGGUGAAGGGGGAGUCCAUUCAUCAGAAAGAUAAGCUAGAAAUCUUUGCAAAUCGUGGAAGAGGCAGAGGUGGUUUUCGAGGAAGAGGCCGUGGAAGAGGCCAAGGAAGAAAUCGAGAUAGAGGAGGAUCAAAUGAAGAGAAGCAGGCUAAGACGUUUCUGUGCAACUACUGCAGAAAAUCAGGUCAUAAAGAAGCUUAUUGUUGGCAAAAACAGAGGGAUGAGAAUAACCAAGCAAGCUUUGUAGAGGAAAAUGAUGAUGACAGUAAGUUGUUCAUGGCCCUUUAUUGUGAAAAAGAAACUCCUAACGAUUUUUGGUUCUUGGACAGUGGUUGUUCCAAUCAUAUGUCUGGAACAAGAUCAUUGUUCAAGGAGCUCGAUGAGUCAAAAAAAUCAGAUGUAAGGCUAGGAGACAACAAGAAGAUUCAGGUUGAAGGUAGAGGUACAGUUAGCAUUAUGACCAGCCAAGGUAAUGCUAAGAUUUUAGAAGAUGUGAUGUUUGUUCCUAGUCUAUCUCAUAAUUUGCUUAGCAUUGGACAACUAAUGAUUAGCGGAUACUCAAUUUUCUUUGACGAUGGUGUUUGCACUAUUAAAAAUAAGAAAAUCUGAGAAAAUCAUUGCUAAAAGUUCCAAUGGCUAACAAUAAAAUGUUUCCUCUAGACGUUUCAAUGGUUGAGAGGUGUGCUAUGGUAGCUAGUGGAGAUAAUGAAACUAGACUAUGGCAUUUACGUUAUGGGGUCAUUUAAACGUUAAUGGAUUGAAGUUAUUGAGUCAAAAGGAAAUGGUUUUUGGUUGCCAAAAGUUGAGAAUCUUGAUUUUUGUGAAAGUUGUGUUUAUGGGAAAUAAAGUAAAAAAUGUUUUCCUAUAAGCAAGUCUUGGAGAGCUUCUGUUUGUCUUGAGUUAGUACAUGCUGAUUUGUGUGGUCCUAUGAGUGUUGAGUCUUUAGGGGGAAGUCGAUACUUUCUGCUUUUUACUGAUGAUUAUAGUCGUAUGAGUUGGAUAUAUUUCUUGAAAUUUAAAUCUGAAACUUUUGACAAUUUCAAGAAAUUUAAAUCUUUUGUUGAGAGACAAAGUGGAUGUAGACUCAAAACACUUCGAACAGAUAGAGGUGGUGAGUUUAUGUCAAAAGAAUUCAGUUCCUUUUGUGAGGAAAAUGGAAUACACAGAGAACUCACAGCACCUUAUACACCAGAGCAAAAUGGUGUAGCAGAACGAAAGAACCGCACAGUUGUCGAGAUGGGCAGAAGCAUGAUGGAAGGUAGAGGUGUACUGAAGUGUUUUUGGGCUGAAGCUGUUGCCACUGCUGUCUAUUUGCUGAAUAUUUCUCCUACUAAGGCAGUGUUUAAUCAAACACCAUAUGAAGCUUGGAGAGGUAACAAGCCCAAGGUAAGCCACUUACGUGUCUUUGGUUGUAUAGCUUAUGCCUUGAUAAAUUCACAAGCUCGACGUAAGCUUGAUGAAAAAUGUGAAAAAUGUAUUUUUGUUGGAUAUAGCACACAAUCCAAGGCUUAUAAGUUAUAUAAUCCAGUGAGUGGUAAGAUUACGGUCAAUAGAAAUGUUGUGUUUAAUGAAGAUGCAAGUUGGAAUUUUAAUUCCACAAAUGAAAGUUCAAACAUUAAGUUGUUGCCUUCUGACGAUAUUAUUGAUCAAGAGUAUGUAGCUGAUCCUUUUUUGGCUGGUCCAUCGUCUACCUCAUCAAUUGCACCAACAACUUCUCCAAUAUUGGAAAAACCUUCCGCUGAGCCAAUUCCAUUAAAAAGAUCAACAAGAGAUAGGAAACAAAAUCCUAGAUAUGCUAACAAUACAUCUUGUACCUUUGCUUUACUUGUUUUAGAUCCUAUCCUCUUUGAAGAUGCUGAAAAAGAGGAUAAAUGGUGCAAGGCUAUGGAAGAAGAGUUGAUGGCUAUUCAAAAGAAUCAGACAUGGGACUUGGUAAAUUUGCCUGAAGGAAAGAAAGCUAUUGGGCUCAAAUGGGUGUUUAGAACCAACUAUCAUGCUGAUGGCAGCAUCUAAAAACAUAAGGCAAGGCUCGUCGCAAAAGGUUAUUCCCAGCAACAAGGUAUUGACUUUGAAGAAACUUUUUCUCCUGUUGCUCGCUUUGAAACUGUGAGAACUUUUUUAGCCUUGGCUGCUAAUUUAAGUUGGCCAGUUUACCAAUUCGAUGUUAAAUCUGCCUUUUUAAAUGGUGAUUUGGAAGAGAAAGUCUAUGUCUCACAACCUGAAGGUUUUGUAGUAAAUGGCAAAGAAGAUAAUGUCUAUAGGUUAAAAAAGGCACUUUAUGGCUUAAAGCAAGCGCCGCGGGCAUGGUACUUCAAGAUUGAUUCAUAUUUCCAUGAGAAUGGUUUUGAAAGGAGUAACAAUGAACCUACUCUUUAUGUAAAACGAGAAGGUAAAAAUGAUUUUUUGGUCGUAUGUCUUUACGUUGAUGAUAUGAUAUAUAUGGGUUCGAAUGAGUCUAUGAUCACUGAUUUUAAGGACUGCAUGAUGAAGAAUUUUGAGAUGUCUGAUUUGGGUCUACUACAUUAUUUUCUUGGUCUUGAGGUGAAACAGGGAAUCGAAGGCAUAUUUCUUUCACAAAGAAAAUAUGCGACAGAUCUUUUGAAAAAGUUUACUAUGGUAAAUUAUAAAGUUGCUGUUACGCCGAUGAAUAUUAAUGAAAAGUUGUGUCGUGAUGAUGGUUCUGAAAUGGCAAAUGCAACUUAUUUUAGAAGUCUGGUUGGUGGUUUGAAUUACUUGUCUCAUACAAGACCAGAUAUUGCUUUCUCUGUUGGCGUUAUAUCGAGAUUUAUGCACAAUCCAAGCAAGCUUUCACCUUGGAGCUGCAAAGAGAGUACUAAGAUAUAUUGCUGGGACAACAAAGCAAUGGAAAUUUGGUAUUCUAAGGUAACAAAUUUCACAUUAACUGGCUUUACUGAUAGUGACUACGCAGGCAGCAUUGAUGAUCGAAAGAGCACAUCUGGUUUCUUGUUUAAUCUUGGGUCUGGAGCAGUUUCAUGGAGUUCAAAGAAGCAGGAAGUGGUCGCUUUAUCAACUUCAGAGGCUGAAUAUAUUGCAGCAACCUCUGCAGCUUGUCAAGCAGUUUGGUUAAGGAGACUUGUUGCAGAUUUUAACCAGAAACCGACUGGUGCAACUGAGAUUUUUUGUGACAAUAUAUCUGCUAUUGCGAUGACGAAGAAGCCAGCAUUUCACAGCAGAACAAAGCACAUUGGUAUUCGCUAUCACUAUAUUAGAGGUCUUGUUUCUACAGGAGAAAUUACUUUGAAGUCUUGUGAUACAAAUGAGCAAGCAGCAGACAUCUUCACGAAGUCACUUCCGCAAGCAAAGCACGAGUUCUUCAAAGGUCAACUUGGAGUUUGCUGUUUUGAAUCAAGGGGGAGUGUUGAAAAGUGAUUCAUAUACUUGACCAAGUCUUCAGGAGUUUGUUAGUUAGUUUCCUUUAUCUUAGCAUGUUUAGAUAUUGUGGCAGAUUAGUAGCUAAUUAGUAGUUAGUGGUUUAGUGGACCUAGAUUUUAGUAUUUUCUGUUUUACAGUAAGCCUAUUUAUAGGCAGACUUGUUGCUUCCAUUAUCUAUCAGAAACAAAAUCCUUGCAGUAGCUUUUUACUUCUGUCUUUGCUCUAUUUUUCUGUUCACUUUCUCCUUUACUUCCUUUUUCUUUCCAACAGCUACGCAACAAUGUUUCUCUUCAACGCCUGUGUGUCUCAGAUUGCGGAGAGUUUCGUGAAUUGCCACAAAGCUUGUACAAUCUCCAUUCUCUUAAGAGAUUACAAAUAUCCAACUGCGCCAAUUUCAGUUCUUUUCCUGUUCCCUGUGGAGAGAACUACUUGACUUCCCUCCAAUUAUUUCAGUUAAGGUAUUGUGAUGGAUUGAUUAGUUUACCAAGUGGAAUGCUAGAGAAAUGCCGGUCUCUAUUGAUUUUGAUCGUCAAAAACUGUAACAACUUGGUUUCCUUGCCUUUACAUGUGUGGGAAAUGCCUUCACUUUGGCUGUUAGAUAUAUCAGAUUGUCCCAAAUUGAUUAGUGUACACGCAGGGGACCUUCACUGGCUCACUGGGUUACGGCAUUUGGAAAUUGGUCCUUUCUCAGAGAUGGUGGAUUUUGAGGCAUUCCAGUUGAUAUUUAAUGGCAUUCAGCAGCUGUUGUCCCUUCGUACAUUGAGGGUGUACGGACAUGGGCACUGGGAUUUUCUGUCCUAUCAGCUUAUGCAACUCUCUGCCCUAACAGAUAUCUAUAUAUUUGAUUUUGGAAUCGAGUCUCUUCCUCAUAGAUUUGACAACCUUACUUCUCUUGAAACAUUAUUGCUAGUGAGGUGCAAACGGCUACUGUUGACACCAAAUUUUGUCCCUCCUCUCUUCUAAUUUAUUUCGUUGAGCUUCUAAGUUGCUAAUAAGUCGAAUACUUUAUAAUUCGCUAUUAUUUUCCACUUAUCUCUAUUGCUAUCGUAAUUAUCUAUAUUACUUUUAUGAUUAUCAUCUUUGUAUUAUCCUUCUCGCUAUUUUAAAAUUAUAUAUUUUAUUUUCGACAUUACUAUUAUUACUUUAUUGUCGUCUUCUUUAAAAUAGAUUGUCGUUACUUUAUUUCAAGUUUCUUACUUACUAAUUUUUUUUUUACAUAAUAUAUAUUAUAUUUGUUAUAAGUUAGAAGCCCAAAAUGAUUUAACAAGAAGAUGGGAAAAGGCCAACAAAUCCAAAACCCAACAAUUGGAUUAUUUUGGUCCAAGAAACGUUUUAGUCAUUCAGCCCAUCUACCCAUUAAUCCAAAUAAUCAGUCAGCUCACAUAAUUUAUCAAUAAUCCAAAAAUACCCUUCACAACUUCAGCCCUAAUUCAAAAUUUCUCAGCAGCAGCCUUUCCAUUCCUCUUCUAGCGUAAAUACAUUUUUUUUCAUAGUCAUGGCAAAAUUUCUUCACCAUUUUUGUGCAAGUUCUGUACACCUACUUUAGCAUAUCAUCAAAAUGUGUAUAAGUCCAAUGCAUAGCAGAUCCGACUUCAGAAAAAGGCUCACUAUUUCGAGCAUAAAUCUGAAGUAUCAUGUGAAGGACACAUUCAUCCAAAUCUCAACGUUGGAUUUCAAACGACUCUCUUUGACCAUGAAUUCAAAAAUCAAAGAUGAAAUCCCGCCCAAAUGUAAACCGAAAUCUUAAAGCCUAUUCUAUAAAUACUUGCCUCUGUUAGCCUUUGAAGGGGGGCGUUUUUGGCUUUGAAAAGAGGAGUUUUCUGCUUACAAAAGAAAUCAAGAACAAGUUUAAGCAUUCUCAAGAACGCUCCUCUCUUAUAUUUGAAUAUCAUCUCACGAAAUAUUUUCUAUUCUAUUCUCUAUUUUUGCUUAAUUUUGUCGGAGGAACGAGAUUAGAUCUUUGAUCAACGACCAAGUUCACUGCUCCACAAAAGGUGAAAAUCUAAACUUAUUCUUAUUUAUUCGACAUCGACGAUUGUUUUGUUGUUAUAAGUCAUGCAUAAUGGAUAUAUCACUCUGUAAAUUUGAUUCAUUUCAAUUUGAACUGUUUACUGUAUAUUCCCAUAUGCUUGCAUAUCAGCCUAGAAAUCUCAACCUAUCACUGGGUGGUUAAGUUUAGUAUAAGAAAAUGCAUACAUUAGGAGUAGAUUUAUAUUUAGUUCAGUGCUACUAUCUGAAAACUCUCUCAACUAACAAAAGAUUUCCACUUUUACUAAAAGUCAUGUCUUAUUAAAUUUCACUUAACAUUCAUUAAUGUACACAUAUGUAUAAAUUAUGUCUGUUAAAAUGUAUUACUUAAGAUCCCUCUAUUGAAGUGGCUUUUCUAAUCAUGCACUAUGUCUUGUACUUUGAUACACAAGAAUAAUGCCAUACUUCUGUACAUGUUAGUCUUUUGUUUUAUAAAUCGAGUUCCGUAUAACUUGCUCUGUUUUUGUACUUUUAUUAACUAUUUGAGAAUCAUUUUUUUCUAACUUUCCCUCCUUGCUCUUUUCUCUGUUUUGCACGCACAUCGAAGCCGAAGAGUCCCCUAUGGGACUCAACGAUACCAUUAUUGCAUGGAGCUUGCAUAUCUUAUACAUGGAGUCGGCACGUCCUUAUUCUUUCCUGCUUCAUACUGUUCAGACCUCUAGUAACGGAGGAGAUCAUUUCCUUAUGUUAAAGUCGCACAUAACUACUAAUUUCCUCAUUUAUUUUAGCUUGUUUUAUUUGAUUGUAUUGAUGUGAUCAACAUUUUAUAUUUGUCUAUGUGUUAUGUGUUCCCUUAUAUGUAAUGACUAAUAGCUAGGCUUUAAUUGGAAUUCCCUUUGACCCUCAUACAGUAGCUAUGAACACUUGCUUUUAUCACAUAAAAUAGAGCCGUUAUUUCUUUAAAAAAAACAAAAAGGCUUAAGAAGCCAACUUUGUUAAGUUAGAAAUAUUCCUUAUUGAAAUUUUCUUGCAGUUACUAAUUUUGGUUUCAAAUACUUUUGUCAAAAUAACCACUAUAACGUUUUCUGCUCCAACUCCUUUUUUUGGGUUUACAUUUACAGAUUUUAUUAUAAAAUUUAUUCCUUAACUUGUAAGUUCUUGAAUUUAUUCGAAGCUUAAACUUUUCCCUCUAAAUUUAGUUAAGUUUACUAGAUCUUCUUUUACUACUUCUAAUACUUCAUUUUUUGAUAAAAUUCCUAUUUCUUAUUAAAUUCAAAUGGAUUCAAGUCAUCAUUAUUCAAUAAACUAAUUUAACUUUUUACAAAACUAUUUUACUUCCACACAUUUUCAACAAGACGAUUUUUCAUAAGAAAUGUUUUUCCGAGCAUUAAUUUUUAAGUUACUUGAGAUUUAGCAUUUAUACAUUUUUACAUCUUCAUGCUUAGCAUUUUAACUCUCCACCUUAGCCUAAUUAAUUAAUCAAGUUCGACCGGUUAACCAUUUUUAAUGGAUCUUAAAGGAUGCCUAACUCCUUCCCUUUAGAUUAGUUGAACCCUUACCUAGAAUCUUAAGUUUAGUAGACCUUAAAAUGAAGUUAACUUUAGAAAAUAACUUUAAUCAAUUUAGGUGUCCUAAUUCACCGUAAUAAUUAGGUGGCGACUUCUUAAAUUAGUCAAUUAACUUUAGAAAUCACCAAAAUGUUGUACACUAUUUUGACCCGGUUAAAAUGGGGUAUAACAGCUACGACAUGUGGACUUCUCAGCUGCCAUGUCCAAAUUACGCAUCUGGAGAUCCGUGAUUGUCCAUUAUUAGAAGCUCUGUCGGAUGGGCUCGGCAAACUUGCUUCUUUGGAAAAGUUAUGUUUAAGGAGCUGUGAAAAACUAGAACAUCUGCCAUCCAGAGAUGCCAUGCGACGCCUCACUAAAUUACGGAAUCUGGAAAUUGGAGGCUGCCCAAAGUUAAAAGAAAGUUGCACCAAUCGGAGUAUCCCAAAACUCCCAGUGGUCCAACAUUUCCCAUAUUCCAAAAAUUAAAGUAGGUGGGAGGAUGAUUCAGAACUUACGUAAGUCUCUGUUUCUCUUUCACUGUCUGAUCAGUCAAUUUUUUAAAUAUUAAUUUCCCUGUGUUCCAGAAAAGAAGUUCUGUAUGUGGUUUAACAUUUUUUUCUGCAAUUAUUUUGACAUUAAAAAAUGCAAAAUUAUUAUACAAUUGCAUUUGUGUUAUGCUUUCAGCAUUCUGCUUGUCCACUUGAACUGAAUUGUUCUUCUUCUAAUUCUUCAAGUAUGGUAUAUCUUGAUAUGAUUUAAUCAUGAGAUUUUUUGUUUUUUUUCCUUAUAGGUUACUAGUUUCAAGGCCAUGCUAGAACGUCGUUGUGGUAUUUGACUUGUUCUAACACAGAGAUAACUCUGGAAGCAUCAAUCAACUAUCUAUGAAAUUGUGUAAGUGUUAGAAUGUAAGCUGUUAGGAAGAGACUACAUUAGUUUCAGUCGAUUUGGUGUUUGUAUCAUAAUUUCCCUUAAGUUAUGAAGUAAAAGGAAUAAUAAGUUAUGUCGAGCGCCCCAUUAUACUGAAAUAACAAAAUAACUUUUUUUUCAUGACACAAUUUUACUGUUUAACAAGUUUGGUUUUUGAGUAUGCAUAUUUGCUCAUUUGCCCAAGUGAAACUAUUUUUCUAGUUUCUUUUCUGUUAUCUCUUUUGAUAAAAUAAAUAACCUUUUUUCCUGUAAUUAAGCUGUUUGGGAAGAGCCUACAUUAGUUUUAGGUGAUUUGAUGCUUUUCUCCAUAUAAUUCUUCUUCAUUUUUGUUUUGCCAGAGCUUCGAUCCAUAAUAUUGAUGCGAAAACCUAGGACUUGAAUGGAUCAACCAGUUUGAGGGCGAUCUGUCCGUUAGAUUGAAGGAUUCUCUGUUCAGCGGAAUGUCAUGAGAUCUGAUGUAGACCGAUGUCUUUUUGGACCGAAAUAAUGUCAUGAGACUUGUAUAGAUAGUAGAAGCUUCUCCAGUUUUUGUUGACUGUAGUAUUCAACAGUAUUCCUUUUUCCUUUUUAAUUUUCAGGGGACAGAUUGGAACAUUUUGUUAGAGAGGUCUAUAUAAGUUUCUUAAUAGACAUUCUCGUUACUUUCACUUUCAUUAAAACUCUCGCGAUUGAAGGACUUCAACAAAAAAAGUUACAAAAGACUGCUUUUUGUUGAAUCUUAUAGCAAAGAGUGCCCCAUUGGCUCUAAAAAUGUCCUUAGUAGCAUCUGUUCAUAUUUAUAGAUCUUGUAAUGAGCUGAUUCUCCAUUCUCAAAGAUCAAAAUGUGUGCGAAAACUGACUUUUACUGGCUCCUGUGUUUCGGAUUGAUGGUUGAAACAACGGCUUGGACUUCUUAUCUAAAUCGUAGACUGGAAAAGACUUGUAUGAGAUUUGACAGCAGAGGCCUUUCUGCACAAUGUUCAUAUGCUGUACCUGCCUUUCAUACAAACAAAAGUAAUAUAGGUUUAUGUCAUUUAAGUAACUCCUACUCUCUAGAAAAAAAAUUGAAACCUAAGUUUGAUUAAUCCAAAAAUAUAAUUUGGUUUACAAGAUCUAUCUUGUGUUUGUCUUAAUUGAUUGAUGUUCCAUGGUAGUAAAUAUUUCUUUGCAAAAUACUUCAUAUGCCAAAUAGAAAAUAAAAAAAUAAAAAAUGUGUAAGAGGAUUACAAGGUGGGAAAUUGAGCACGCUGGAGAAUUUUGUUGUGGGAAAACAUUGGAAAUCAUGGAGUUGUGCUUUUUGAAUAUUUCUCUAUCAAAACUUUGUUAAUUGAGGGGAAAGUUACCCAUUUAGUUGAGCAGAUAAAUAUAAUAGUAUCCACUAUUCAAAUAUGCAAUAAAGAUAUACGCUAUUUUGCAAGUAUAAGAAUAUACAAAGACUAGAGCAAAUAUAUAAAAUAUCUUUGAAUUUUGACUCAAGAUAGUCCUAUAUCUCUUAUAUGGACUUGUAAUAUACCACAUCAUAUCAUAUCACCAUUAUAUAUAUAUUAAAAGUGGGAAGCUCUUAACCUUAAAGUUGGAUUAUAUAUAAGUGGAAAGCUCUAAAGUAUAAAAUCAAAUUACCAUUUUACCCUUAAAACUUAUUUUUCAGAGCUAGAAAUUAAGGCUUGUUUUUGUUUUGUUAAUGUGCAGUGAACAGAAACAUCUAUGGUAAAUAAUAAUAAUAAUAUAUUUACUAUAAUAAUAUAGUUAAGUAUCUUUCAUUAUUUACCUGAUAUUAAUAUAUUCUUAUUAAACUUCAUCUAUUGAGCAAUUAUCAAUUAAGCUCAAUUAAUCUAAAGUUGAAAAGCCUGUUUUUUUCCGUUUUUUUUUACAAUAUAUAUAACAUUUAUUUUGAUGAUGAACAUUAAUUAGGAGGAAAAAGAAGAGACCAUUUUGUAAAAAUGAAUUUGGUUGCAGCUCUAUUUCAUCAUUCUUGCAACAUUCACUCAUAUGCUUUCUGAUUGUACUGAUUAUGAUUUAUGUAUUUCUUUUUCCAUUUAUAUUAUUACGAUUAAAGACUUAAGAAGGAUAUGUAUUGUGUAUGUUUUUUUUGGUAUGUUUUCUCUCUAUUAGAUUUUAAUAAAUUUAACUUUUUAUGAAUUUCUGAUUGUCGUACAUUUGUAUUUUUAUUUGGGAUCAAAUUAGCCAUUUGUGACUUUUGCAGAGUUUGCUAACUACUAACUAAAGUUCAAAAUUUAAAGUUGGUUGAUUAAAAGGAAUUAAUUUUUAACAUUAAUAUACGUCCUUCACUGGUGUUUCGUGCCACACUUUUAAAAAAUAUUUAUAAUUGUUGCAUUUUAUUGCUCAUUACAUACAUGUUUUCAUAAUUCAAAUAAAUCUAUAGAAAAUUACAUGGGACAAACGUGCAACUCGCGUGCCCAGAAACUAGUUUAUUUAUAAAAGGAACAUGAAGAUAUGUGUGAUUCAUCAAUGCGACGCUUUAGGAUGUUUCGAUAUCUUGUAUAUGAAUGAUGGUUUGCUCAUUUGGUAAAAUUACAUAAGAAUUGGAGAAAUUUGAUGCUUUUCACAACUGUUAGAUUUUUCAUGUUUACGAGGAAAAAUUAUAAUUUAAAAAAUCAAAAUUGCAUGUCCAUUUAGUCAAAUCUAUUUAGGGAUAUGCCAUCGCCGAGCUCAAAAUUGUAGUGAACCUGUGUUAUGUAUUAAUUGUAACAUUUUUUUUUACGUUCCUCUCCUAUUUGGGUUAUUUCAAUGUGUGACACGACAAAAAUGCUUGGUAGCCUAAGACCAUCUCCAACCCAUCUCUAUUUUACUCUCCAUUCUCUAUAUUUGGAGAGUAAAAUAGAGAAUGGGUUCUCCAACCACUCUCUAUUUCACUCUCUAUUCUUCAAUUAUAGAGAGGUGAAUAGUAGUUCUCCAAAUUUGGAGAACUACUAUUCACCUCUCUAUNNNNNNNNNNNNNNNNNNNNNNNNNNNNNNNNNNNNCCUCUCUAUUUUACUUUUUGAUUAUUAUAAUAUUAUUUCUAUUAUAUUACUAUCAUUUGUAAUUAUUUUCUAAUGUAACAUAACAUUUAAAAAUAUAUUAUCAACAAGUUACUACUUCCGCCAAAUUAAUAAUUUUUCUAUUUUAUUUUUUUAAAAGAAAUGGUCACUUUAAAUAUGUAAUUUAAAGUUAUUUUAAUAUUAUUUAUAUUAUAUAAGAUUAUUAAUUAUGUCUCUAAUAUUUGUAAUUAUUUUCUAAGUAAUAUAACAUCUAAAACAUUAUUGAUAAGUAUACUACUUCCAUCCCGAAUUAACAAUUUUUCUAAUUUAAUUUUUAAUUUUUUUUUUGUCAUUUAAAUAUGUAAUUUGGAUUAGAAUUAUUUUUCAUUAUGAAGUAUGCACAAAAAUUACAUGAUAAUUCAAACAAUCUACUUUUAUGUUAUAAUGAUAAAUUAUUAAACUACACUUUUUAAAGAGCAUGCAAAUAUUUGAUGCAAUAGUUCAAAAUGGAAUAGGGGAAGUAAAUUAGUACACGAAAUAAUUGGACACAAGAUGAAAUUGUUAAUUUAAAUAAGAUUUAGCUACACAUAAAAAAUAAGGAUAAAAAAUGCUUAUUUUGAACUCCGUAAUACAUUAAUAGAACAUUCAUGAGUAGGGGUGUGCAAACACCGAAUCAACCGAUAAAAGUGUUAUGGUUUAUUGUUAUUGGGUUAUUGGGUUAACGGUUUUUUAAUGGUUUUAUAAAAAAAAUUAUUGGGUUAUCGGUUCGGUAUUGGUUUUUAAUAUUGGGUUAUUGGGUAAACCGAUAACCCAUUAAGACUAGUAAUUUACUACUUUGUACAUAAAUAUUAUAUAUUAAUCUUAAUACCUUAGUAGUUACUACUAUCUUUGUCCUUUAGCCUUCAAUUCACACUUCACAAUGGAUUUGAGUUCACAAUUUCACAUUAUAAAAANNNNNNNNNNNNNNNNNNNNNNNNNNNNNNNNNNNNNNNNNNNNNNNNNNNNNNNNNNNNNNNNNNNNNNNNNNNNNNNNNNNNNNNNNNNNNNNNNNNNNNNNNNNNNNNNNNNNNNNNNNNNNNNNNNNNNNNNNNNNNNNNNNNNNNNNNNNAUAAAUUUUACGAUAAUACAAUAUUUAUGAUGCAAUUAUAUUUCAUCAAUGAGUUCAUUUUUAUUUGAAUUGUUCGUUAAUAUGUAUUAUAUAUAAUAUGUAUUGCAAUUUAUGUUAUUUAGAAAUUUAGAAUAAAAUAUAAUUUUAUAUUAAUGAAAAAUUUGAAAAAAAAAAAUUGUAUUACGUAAAAAUUAUAGAGUGAUUAUUUGCAAAAAGAAGAAAUGAUUUAUAUUAUGAAAUAAGAAAAUAAGAAUGAAAUAUAAAUAAUAAUAUAAUAUUGAGGAGAGAGAAAAAGAUUCCUUUUUAGAGAGUAAAAUAGAGAAUUGGAUUGGAGUUGAUUGUCUGAAAAAAUAGAGAACUCUAUAUUUGGAGAGUAAAAUAGAGGAUUGGGUUGGAGAUGCUCUAAAUGGUUGUUAAUCUUUUUCUUUGGCCUACUGUCAUCGGUCCGCCCUCCAUCAUUAAUGUCACACAUAUGAUAUGGAUUUCUUUUUGUUUUUAAAUAAAUGACUACAUCAUAGGUCUUUUUUUAAUAUAUUUUAUGGAAUAAGGCAUCAAAGACUAGAAUAAAGCUGAUGUCGUUUUUACUAAAGCAUCCAAUAGGAAUGAAGCACUAUCAUUAAUUAAUAAAGCACUAAUUGUUGUUUACCUACCAAUACCAUUAAUUAAUAAAUUAAUAAUGCAUUCAGAACUCAUAAUAUACACAUUCCAGUCUGUUUGUGCCAUUGCCAACUAUAAUUAUUGUUUGAUCUCCUCACCCAUCUCUAUGUACUAGACAACACCUUGUGCCAUAUAGUAUUUUGAUUUACAUCAAUCAGUUAACAAUCGAUUGAUCUACCAUUGAGCUAUUGAGAAAUAACAAGAGAUUCGAUAAGUUAAUAUUGAGGUAAGUUCCAUUGAUUCAUAAUUUAGUUUCAUACUUAAAGGAAAUCUUUAUCCUCUGAAUCUAUAUACUCCCCCUUCAUCAUUUGGUGAUUGUUUUUUCCUUUUAAUUUCCUAUAAUCCCUUCAUCUAACACCUGAAAAAUACAAUGAAGGAUACACAAACACAAGUCAUAAAGAAUAAAGCUAACAAAUAUUUUCAGUUCCACCAAGUCUACUACAGUCAAAUAAACGAAAGAAGGAAUUAAUGAAAAAGGAGAAAUAAAUUAUACAAGACACUAGUACAGUAGAUUGUACUAAUAUAUAAAACUUUUAGCUUUUGAAGUUUAGCUAGACCUAGAUAUUAUAUUUUUAUAAGGCAUCAUAGCCAGAUCUAUUUUCGUUUGCACUCCUGAUCCAUGCUCCAAUUGUGAAAAAGUUAGAUGAUUUUUUAAAAUUAUCAUAGAUUAGUCUCUAGAAUAGUUUAGUGUAGUAUCAUCAUAUCAUAUUAUCAUGUAUUAUAUCAUGUAGGCAUAAUACAUAAAUAUGCCCUUUAACAAUUGGCCUCAGCUCAUAUUUAUGUCUUUCAACUUUGAGUGUGCACAAGUAGACACUUAAACUUGCAUAAAAUUGAAUAAGUAAACACAUGCAUCCUACUGGCAAUUUAUGUCCUAUGUGGUGUCCUACGUGUAUUAUGCCACAUAAGACUCAUGUGUCUACUUAUUCAACUUUAUACAAGUUCAAGUGUCUACUUGUGCACACUCAAAGUUGGAGGGCAUAAAUGUAAAAUGAUGCCAAAUUAAGGGGCACAUUAUUAUUAUUAUUAUUAUUAAAAGUGGGAAGCUCCAAAGUGUAAAGUUGAAAUACCAUUUUACCCCUUUACUAAAUAUUUUUGGGAAAAUGCAUAAAUACCAACCAGCCUAUGCCCAAAAUCUCUGAGACACACCUAACCUUUACUAAGGUCCUAUUACCCCCCCCCCCCCAAACUUAUUUUAUAUAUAAUUUUCUACCCUUUUUCGACCUACGUGGCACUAUCUUGUGGGCCCAGUGCGUGUUGACAAUUUUUUCAAGGAUAGUGUCACGUAGGCUGAAAAGGAGUAGAAAACUAUAUAUAAAAUAAGUUCGGGGGGAGGGGGGUAGUAGGACCUUUGUAAAUGUUAGGUGUGUCUCAGGGAUUUUGGGCAUAGGUUGGGGGUACUUAUGCAUUUUCCCAAUAUUUUUUUAGAAAUCAUAUAUUAUAUAUUAUUAGUUAUUAUGUAUUAAAUAUUAUGUUAUCAUUUAUCAUUAUCAUUCAUUCAUAUUCAAUCAUCCUUAUCUAUAAAUGUUAAUUUAUUUUUUGUUAGAAUAAAGAAGACAAAUGAAGAGUUGUGGAAAUGAGUAGUUAUGAAAAGCUACAACAAAUAAGUAUAAUAAAAAGGUCUUUCGCGAGCUUGCAAUAAUGGGAUGUUAGAAAUUUACUUUUUUUAUGAAAUAGUAAAAUGCCUGUAGAAUUUGAAAAGUUAAUAUUUCAUUAAAAACAUAAUAAAAGAUUGCAUUCAUCUAUUUAAACAAUCAAUCCUUACUAUUAAAACAUAAAGAAUGUGAAGAGUUACAUUGAAUUAAAAAAAAGACCAUAAUCAUCUAUAAAAUCAAAUAUAUACGGAUCACUUUUAUAGAAAAAAAGGAGAGAAAAAAUCAUGAAUUUUAUGGAUUAAUGUUGGAGAAGAGAAUUUUGUUCUCAUUUUUUUUCUUGGAAAAAUCUGAUUCAUAUGUCCAUCUCAAAUUUGUUUGCUCUAAUAUAUUGCCAUGCAUAUUUUUAAUUUUGUUUGCUAACUAAUUUUUAUUUGUUUCUCCACAUUACAGAUUUAACUUUGUGCACUCUUCACUUCUCAAUCACUAAUAUCAGGUACUCAUUUUCUAACAAUUAUUAUUUUACAAAAAUAUAAUAUAAUUUAUAGGAAAAUGUAAUCUAUGUCUAAGAUUUAUGAGAAGUAUAAAGAUAUUAACGUUAUAUAUAUAUAUAAAUGAUUAUUAGUCCUUUGAACUUUUUAAUUUUUUUUUUUGAAUAUUUACACAUGGUGAUAGAUUCUUUUAUAUUUAUUACAUUAUAAUUAUAUUUGCAAAAGUUUACUAAAAUUAUUCUGUUAAAUUCACAUAUAUUAUAAUUUAUAAUCUUGAAUUAAACAUAGGAUGCAUGUAAGCAUUUGAAAACAUAAUGAUUAUGUUGUUCAUGUUCACAUUCAGACUAUUUGUUGUUGAAAUAUCAAAAGACAAAAAUAUGUCAUAUAUCAUAAAAAUUGCACAAGAAAAAGGAAGGACAAAUCAAUUCAAUUUAUUAUAUAUAGUUACUUUACUUUUAAAUUUUUAAUUAAUCAUUAUAUACAUGUUUAAUAUUAUCUAUAUUAAUUUAAAGGUUAGAUAGGUUGACAUUGAACAAAGGUGCAACACACGUUUUCAUAGACUAGUAUUACUAAAAGUGAGAAGCUCUAGAUACAAAAUUGAAUUUUCAUUUUACCCUUACACGAAAUAAAAAUAUUAUAAAAUAUUCAAUUUAUAAAAUAUUUAUUAAUCAAAAUAUUUUAAAGCCUUUUCACGUCAUAGAUUUAUUGCAACCUAAAGAGUGACGUGUUUAGUAAGUAAUACAUUGAUCCGUUAUUAAUUUAAUUAGUACGCAAUUAAUAAAUUUUUAAAGAAAUUAGAUAGCAAAGUCAUACUAUAAUAAUAUAAUAAUAAAAGUGGGAAGCUUCAAAUACAAAGUUGGAUUACCAUUUUACCCCUAGACUAAAUUAAAAUAUUAUAAAUAUUCAAUUAAUUAAAUGUUUAUUAAUCAAAAUAUUUUAAAGUCUUUUCACCUCCUAAAUUUAUUGCAAGCUAAAGAGUAAUGUGCAAACUGGUAAAUAUUUUUUUUUGUCAUAUUAAUAUUGCUUAAUGAAUCAGCCACAAUAAUCCCACUCCCACUCUGAGUGUAUAUAUAUAUAUAUAUAUAUAACUAAAGUAUAUAGAAGACAAGAGCAUUUUGAAUAUAAAAUGCCAUGUUAUUCUUAAAAAUUAUACAAUAUUUACUGCAUAAACAUUUUAGAACUAAAAGUAUAUUAGAAGACAAGAGCAUUUUGAAUAUAAAAUGCCAUGUUAUUCUUAAAAAUUAUACAAUAUUUACUGCAUAAACAUUUUGAACUAAAAGUAUAUAGAAGACAAGAGCAUUUUGAAUAUAAAAAUGCCAUGUUAUUCUUAAAAAAUUAUACAAUAUUUACUGCAUAAACAUUUUGAACUAAAAGUAUAUAGAAGACAAGAGCAUUUUGAAUAUAAAAAUGCCAUGUUAUUCUUAAAAAAUUAUACAAUAUUUACUGCAUAAACAUUUUCAAUAUUACAAUUUACAAUCUUAAAUAUAUUAGUGGUUCCAAUGUAUUAUAAGUAUUUAAUUAGUUUUUUGAAAAGAAAAAUUGUCAUCAAUAUUUUUUCUAAUAAAAACGAUAGUAAAAUGAUAAUAAAAAUCACACUUUAUAAUAAAAUAUUAUUAUUUUUAUCAAAUAAUAUAGUAACUUAUUUAAAUUGUCUUAAUUAACAAUACAAUAUCAUAUGCACCAAUGGUUAUUUUUACAUAAUGUCAAACAAAUAAAUUCGAAUUAAACACUUAAUUUGAUGAUAUUCUUUUCACAUUUAGAGUAGUAUAAACAUGAAAAAUAAAAUUAAAUUAUAUCUUAUUUUUAAGAUAAUAAAUAUUAUUUUUAAUUAUUUAUUUUUAAUACAUAUGAAAAAUAAAUUAACACAAAGAAAUAGAUAAUCUUUUUAUUUCACUUUAUUUGAAAAUCCGCAUUUGAUUAUGAAAAUUACAAAUAUAACUUAAAGUUGUAUUUGAAAUUUGAAAAACAUUCAAAACCUUGUUAAUACUUUAAGGGGCCGUUUGGUUACCGUAUAAGAUGCAUUUUUUUCUCAUAUAUAAAAAGUUGUAUCUGUUUUACUAUGUUUGGUAGAAAUUUUGUAUUAGGUAGAAAAACCAACAUGACUUACCAUGUUUGGUUGAUACGUUUCUCAAAAUUGUAUAAAAGUUAUUCUUGUAUUAAUUCUAUACAGUGUAUUGUUACAUUUUUUGUAAUCCUACAUAAUUGAUACCUACAUAACUUAUGAGGGAAUCUAUGUAUAAAUUAUACAUGAUAAAAGAUGGAAUAAGUUAUGAGGGUAUUAGUUAUACAUGUAUUAAAAAAACUACACAUUUAUCCCUAUUACCUUUUUAUAUUGAAAACUCUAGAUAAAACUUUACAUAACUAUUCUAUUUUCCUAGCUAUUUUUGUUUCUUAUUUCUUUUGUAUACGAACAAUUUUUUAUUUGUUUUCAUUUGAAAUCAAAAUAUAAAUAUUUUAUUAAUAUUAUGAAUCGGAAUGUAUAAUUUUGACAACGCAUAUGCUAAUCAUAUAUUAUCACCAUAUAUUACUAAAUAUAUUCCACAUAUUUAAUUAUUAUGUAUUGUUUUUUUAUUUGGAAUAUAAAUUUAUAUAUAACUCAUAUAUUUGGUAUACUAAAAAUGUACAAAUAAUACAUGCAGCAUCUUGAUAGAAAUUUACAUUAUAUAAAAUAGGAUUUUAUAAUGUACUUGAAAUAUAUUUGUGGUAUUUUAUUUUUAUAAGCUUUAAACAUUAAAAAAAAAUAGAGAGAGAAAAAAUAAAUAGAAUUCCCACUUAAGUAUAGAGAAGAUUUUUUGGAAGUUUUUUUUUUUUUUUUUUUUUUGGGAAAUUAUACGAUUUGCUUGCUUAUUUAUUUGUAAAUAAUAUAUUCAAUAAUUAAUAAUUUAUGUAUUGUAAUCUCUACAUAAUUAAGUAAUACCUACAUAACUAAUAUUUGCAUAACUAACACCAACAUAAUUAAUACCACAUAACUAAAUCCUGCAUAACUAAAUCAUGCAUUACUAAAAACUGCGUAACUCUAACCAAUAACCAAACAGCCCCUAACUAUAUUAUCCUUUUUAAAAUUUUAUCACAAAUUCUUUAUUCUUAUAAAAAUGACCCCAUUUGAAUUAUAUUUCAUAUUAGUUUAUUUAUUUAAAAAAAAAAACACAUUCAAAUAAUCAAAUAUAAUUUGCAAAAUCAAUAGCUUGACACAAGUUCAACUUCAAAAAAUUUAAAUAAAGUGAUUUUUUUUUUGUUAUAGUAUGUGGUAGUUCUUAUAUGAGAUCUAAUCUAUGACAUUAUACAACUAUCUAUUUUGAGAUAUUACUUUUUUUUAGUGCAAUUUGGUUGUACGUCUCAGGUAUAUUAGUCAAGUAAUUUUUAGAAACUGAGGAAUAUAAACCAUAUUUAGAAAAACAUAAUAUAUAAAUAUAUCUUUUAACUUGGCUUCGUCUGACAUCUAUGACAUUCAACUUAGGGAGUGCACAAGUAAGCACUUAAAAUUUUAUAAAGUUGAAGAAGUAGACACACGCGUCCUACGGGGAAUAACACACGUGGGAGCCACAUAAAAUAUCGCAUAGGACGUGAAUUAUAUUGUCACGUAGGACACAAGUGUCAACUUGUUCAAUUCUAUACAAGUUUAUGUGUCUACUUAUGGAUAUCUAAAAUUGAAGGACAUGUUAGAUGAAACAAAUUAAAUGACAUAUUUAUAUAUUAUGCCUUUAGAAAAAGUAUAUUUAAAUUCUAAAUAUUUUUUUGCAUAAAAUUUAACCAAACAUGACUUCAACUAUAAAUUUUUUAAAUAAAAUAAACAGUAUUUUUUCAUGAUCAAACCACACUAAGAAAGGAAAUGAUUAAAUGCCCUCAAAUUUGAAUUUUUGGUAUGAAAAAAUCUCAUUAAAAACUAUACAUUCAAAAAUAAAAAAGAAUUUUUUUUAAAAUGUAUCAGCUUGAAUGUACAUGGUUUUGAAGUAAAUCAAUAAAUGGGGUCCAUGUAACUUUGCAAUGAUUUCUUUUACUCCUCCCAAUGUAUUGGUACACGUGUGCCCAUUAAAAUCCACAACUAUUGACUUAGUGAUGGAUUCAUUGGGAAUUACAUAAAUUUUGGUUGGUUUUUCUGAAAAUUUUAAUACUUUAUGCACAAUGUACACUUAAACUAAGCUUGAAAUAUUUUUUGUUUGACAAAACUACCCUUGGUCGUCCAGGGCUUCACAUUUCUAUAUAAUAGAUAGAAAAAUAUAUACAUGUCAUGCUUCUUUUUUCCUUCCACAUAUUCCUCAUUUGCAUGUUAAUUUUUUUAGUUAUUAUUGAAGAUUUUUGUUUGUGCUUAUGAGUUUCAUGUUAUAUUCUUCUUUUCGGAAAAGGGCCUAAAAUACCCUCAAACUAUUGGAAAUGGUAUAAAAUUACCCUCCAUCCACCUAUUGGCUUCCAAAUUAUUUUCUUUUCCUAGUUAAGUUUGAUACUAAAAAUAAAAUUCAUAAAAUAAAUUCAUUUUCUCAUUAAGUUGUAUUAAUUUAAUAGGAUAGUGACUUAAAAUUUUAUUUUUUAGAGGUCAAUCGAAAAACAUGUAAGAAAUUGAAUUAUUUUUUAUUGAACCAUUUUCAUUUACUAUCUUGAAUAUUUUAGUAGCUUUAAAUAAAUUAUCUUAAUAAAUAACGUUCUAUCACUCUUAUAACAUGUAAAAAUUAAAAUUGAAUUUAAACCCACAUAAAAUCACAUAUACCUGCAACCCGUCCCGCAUUAGUUUUAAAAAAACCCACUUCAAUCCGCCCCGCACAACCUUAAACUGGCCAUGCAUAGCUUUAAACCCACUCCACCCCACAUGCGUCCCGCCCCAUUGUCAUCCCUAUUGAUAUCUAUCUAUUGGCUCUCAAAUACCCUUCCAUCCACCUUUGAGUCCAAUAUUGACCACUUUUAUAGUGGAUUAUCAUUUAAAAAUAAUUUUUUUAAAUGAGUGGCGACCAUCUAUUGGUUAUAAUUUAAUAACUUAAAUUAAUUUACAAACUCACUCAUUACUAAUUAUACCCGACCCAAAUUGACUACACUCAACUCAAGUUAACUAUACCCGCCCCAAAUUACAUUUACCCCACCGAUUUAAACAAAUACACCCUUCAUUCCCAACAAUUCAUGUCCUCUUCCAACCUUACAUUCCCAAUAUAUUUGCUUACAAUCUCGAAAAACUCUACCCAAGUACACUCAUGUAUCACCACAAAAAAUCAUGAGUGUUUUGGUGAUUUUUUUAUGGUGAUACAUGUGUGUAUUUAGGUAGUGUUUUUCGAGAUUGUAGGCGGAUAUAUUCGGGAAGAAGAUUGGAAGAUGAAGUGAAAUGUUGAGAAUGAACGGUGUAUUUGUUUUAAUCGGUGGGGUAAAUGUAAUUUGGGACGAGUGUAAUUAAUUAAUUUGGGUCGGGUGUAAUUAAUAAUGGGUGAGUUUGUAAAUUAAUUUAAGUAAUUUAACUGUAUCCAAUAGAUAAUCGUGUCGUUUUGAAGUUUUUAUUUAAAUGAUAAUCCGUAAUAAAAGUAGUUGAUAUUGGAUCCAAAGAUGGAUGACAUGGGUAUUUGGGAGCCAAUAAAUGGAUGAAGGGUAGUUUUGUACCAUUUUCAAUAGUUCAAGGGUAUUUUAGGCCCUUUUCCGUUUUCUUUUUUAUACUCUAUAAUAAUUAUUAUACAAUCAAUUUUUUUAGUGGAAGAAGACUUUGGUGUAGAGGAAGAAGGAGCAAAAAUAACAAUGGCCGAUCCAGUAAUUGGUGCUACUGUUCAAGUUGUGCUUGAGAAGCUGCUUUCUCUCACUAUUGCGGAGGCCAAAACUUUAAGGAACUGCAAGAAAAAUCUCAGAAUGCUCACAAAAUAUGUAUCCAUCAUCCAAGCUUUCAUUCAUGAUGCUGAAAGACGACAAGUCGAAGAUCAGGCUGUGGAAGAAUGGCUUAAGAUGCUUGAGAGAAUUGCUGAAGAUGCUGAAAAUGUGUUUGACAAAUUCACAUAUGAAUCUCUCAAAGCACAAGUGAUGAAAAACCGAGCCAAACUGAUGGAAAAAGUCCGUAGCUUCUUUUCUAAUAAUGUUUUCAAUUACAAAAUGUCUCGAAAAAUCAACAACAUCAAUGAAGAGUUGAGGGCUAUCAAUCAGUUAGCCAAUGACCUCGGUCUCCAAGCACUGACUGUUCCUUCUCACAAAAUACUACAAAUCCGAGAAACAGACUCCGUAGUAGUUGCUUCGGAUGUUGUUGGUAGAGACAAAGAUGUUGCUGAAAUAAAGGAGAAGAUUUUGAAUAUCAGAGAGGAAGUUGUUCUGUGCACCAUUCCCAUAGUGGGUAUGGGGGGGUUAGGGAAAACUACAGUGACCAAGAGAAUUUUCAAUGAUGAUCACAUCAAGCAGCACUUCGAAAAGAGAGCUUGGUUGUGCCUACCUGAAAUGUCAGAAAUUAAGAGCUUUCUUGAACUGAUCCUCGAAUCAUUGACACAGAGGAAAGUUGAGGUCCAGAGCAGAGAUAUAAUAGUCAAGAGACUACAAGAUGAAUUAGGAGGAAAAAAGUAUUUGCUGGUCCUGGAUGAUUUAUGGCGUGUUGACUCUACAUUGUGGCACGAUUUCGUGGACACCUUGAGGGGAAUAAAUACAUCCAGAGGAAACUGCAUUCUCGUGACUACUCGUAUGAAGCAGGUUGCCUCCAUAGUAGCAGCAGAUCUUCAUAUGUUGGGGAAAUUAACAGAUGAUCAUUGUUGGUCCAUUUUCAAACAUAAAGCAUUUGUUGAUGGGGAAGUUCCAAAAGAAAUGGUGAGCAUGGAAAAGAGGAUUGUUGAAAUAUGUCAAGGUCUACCGUUGGCUGCAAGUGUAUUGGGAGGCCUUUUAUGCAACAAGAAAAGACAUGAAUGGCAGGCAAUUCUUGAUGGCAAUCCCCUUGUAGGUGAAGAUGAUAAUGGGGAAAAUAGGACAAUGAAAAUCCUAAAACUCAGCUAUGAUUAUCUACCAUCCCCACAUCUGAAGAAAUGUUUUGCUUACUUUGCAAUGUUUCCAAAAGAUUUUAAGUUUAAAAAGGACCAACUAAUCCAACUCUGGAUGGCAGAAGGCUUUCUUCGUCCAUGUCAAGAGACCCCUGUGAUGGAAGACGUUGGGAACAAGUUUUUCCAACUCUUGUUGCAAUAUUCCUUGCUGCAAGAUGUUGAGCUAGAUGACCUCAAUAUUAUAAGACGUUGUAAGAUGCAUGAUCUUGUGCAUGAUUUGGCUGGAGAUGUCUUAAAAUCUAAACUAUUUGAUCCGAAGUGCGUUGUAGGAGAAAAACUUUCUCAAGUUCGAUACUUUGGAUGGGACUCACCAAGUGAUCAAAUAGAUAAGAUAUAUGAGCCAGGACAUUUGUGCACAUUGUUCUGGAAAACAAAUAUAUCUGAAGAUAUGCUGUUGAACUUUCAGUUCUUGAGGGUUUUAAAUUUGUCCAGGUCAGGCAUCAAGAAGGUGUCAGCCAAAAUCGGCAAGCUUAUAUACUUGAGAUAUCUUGAUCUCUCCGACACCAUGAUCAAAGUCUUACCCAAUUCCAUUUGCAAGCUCUACAAUUUACAGACAUUUAGUGUCCAUAAUUGUUCUUCACUCAUGAAGCUUCCAAAAGGAAUGGCAAAUAUGAUAAGUUUGAGACACAUAUGUUGCGGCCAUCAUUACCAAUCAGCUUUUUGUUUUGGUGGUUGCGGAUCAAGGUACCAAGGUAGUGAUCAGUUUCAGAUGCCACUUAAUAUGGGGCAAUUGACUAGUCUUCAAACACUAGAGUUUUUCAACGUAGGUUUAGAGAAAGGUCGUCAAAUAAAAGAAUUAGGUCGUUUGAAAAACCUUAGAGGUGCAUUGAUAAUCGGCUGUCUCCAAUUAGUCGGAAAUAAAGAAGACGCUCGAACAGCAUAUUUACAGGAGAAACCAAAUAUCUACAGGCUGGCAUAUUUGUGGUCCCAUGAUGAAUCAGAAGGCAGUGAGAUCAAUGAUGAACAUGUGUUGGAUGGUCUUCAACCGCAUCCUAACUUGAAAACCUUAGUAGUUGAGAACUAUUUGGGGACUAUAUUACCUUCAUGGUUCAGUGAAGAAUUGCUGCCAAAUUUGGUCAAGUUGAAAUUAAGUGAUUGCAAAAGGUGCAAAGAAAUUCCAUCCCUUGGACAACUGAAGUUCCUUCGGAAUCUUGAACUGACAGGAUUCCUUGAAUUGGAAUGCAUCGGACCUACAUUUUACGGUGUUGAUGUUAAUGAUAAUAGAUCAAGCAGCAAUAAUGGCAAUAUCCAAGUGUUCCCGUCAUUGAAAGAACUACUGUUGAAGGAUAUGCGUAGCCUUAUUGAGUGGAAGGGAGAUGAAGUUGGAGUAAGAAUGUUUCCUGGGCUUGAGAAGUUGACGAUUACAGACUGUUCACUGUUAAAAAGUACUCCUACUCAAUUUGAAAUCCUGCGUGAAUUAAGAAUUGAAGGAGUUGACAGUGAAAUGCCAUUGUUGAACUUGUGCAGCAACUUGACAUCUCUUGUGAAGCUUGAUGUUUCUAAAGUGAAAGAGCUCACUUGUCUUCCAGAUGAGAUGCUACGCACUAACGAUUCUCUUCAACACCUGUGGGUCACAAACUGCGGAAAGUUUCAUGAAUUGCCACAAAGCUUGUACAAUCUCCAUUCUCUUAAGAGAUUACAAAUACGCAGCUGCAAAAAUUUCAGUUCUUUUCCUGUUCCCAAUGGAGAGAAUUAUUUGACUUCCCUCCAAUGUCUUCAGUUAGUUUCUUGUGAUGGAUUGACCAGUUUACCAAGUGGAAUGCUAGACAAUUGCCGGUCUCUACAAAAUUUGAGGGUCAGCUACUGUAACAACGUAGUUUCCUUGCCUUUACAUGUGUGGGAAAUGCCUUCACUUUCAGAUUUGAAUAUAUCACGUUGUCCCAAAUUGAUUAGUGUACCCACAGGGGGCCUACACCGCCUCACCGGAUUAGGGAGAUUGGGAAUUGGUCCUUUCUCAGAGAUGGUGGAUUUUGAGGCAUUCCAAUUGAUUUUUAAUGACAUUCAGCAGCUGUUGUCCCUUCCUACAUUGUUUGUGUACGGACGUUUGCACUGGGAUUCUCUGCCCAAUCAGCUUAUGCAACUCUCUGCCCUAAAAGAGAUCUAUAUAUUUGAUUUUGGAAUCGAGGUUCUUCCGCAUAGUCUUUGCAAUCUUACUUCUCUUGAAAGAUUACAUCUAGAGAUGUGCAAUCGGCUACAACAUGUGGACUUCUUAGAUUCCAUCCCAAAAUUACGGGAUCUCUGGAUCCAAGAUUGUCCAUUGUUAGAAGUUCUGUCGGAUGGGCUCGGCAACCUUGGCUCUUUGGAAAAAGUAAGUUUGAUGGUGUGCAAGAAACUAGAGCGUCUGCCAUCCAGAGAUGUCAUGCAACGCCUCACCAAAUUAAGGAUCCUGGAUAUUUAUGACUGCCCACAGUUAGAAGAAAGUUGCACCAAUAGGAGAAGCCCAAACUCCCAGUGGUCCAACAUUUCCCAUAUUCCAAAAAUUAUAGUAGGUCUGUGGGUAAUUCAGGAGUCAGGACAGUAAGUCUCUGUUACUCUUUCAGUUUCUGAGUUUUAAUACUACUUUUUUUACUGCUAUCAAUUACAUCUGUGCUAUGCUUCCAGCAUUUUGCUUGUCAACUUGAACCGAAUUGUUCUUCUUCUAAUUCUUCAAGUAUGUCAUAUCUCCAUAUGAUUUAAUCAUGAAUGAAAAAUUAUGGAUUUUUUCCUUAUAGGUUACUAGCUCCAAGGUAACGUUGCUGUGGUAAAUCAAGCCAAAUCCUAUGAGCAGCAGGCAAUUACUUUAGGUAAAUUUUCAUUUAGGUAAUCUACUAGUUUUUUGUCUUUCUCUUUGUUGGGGACCAAUUUUUGGAGUUCUAUGCUGAUGAAUACAACAUUACCUUCCUAAAAAAGAUGUUUUAAUCAUGAAAAUUUAUGUUUCUGCUCAGAGGUUACUAGGUACAAGGUCAUGGUAGAACGUGGUUGUGGUAUAUCAAGUCAAAAUCCAUGAACAGCAAUCGCCUUAGGUAUUUUUAUUUAGUUGUUAUAGGAAUGCUAUAACAAGUUUGUCAAGUUCCUUUUUUCUCAUGAUACUACUUUACUGUUUAACAGGAUUUGUUAUGUUUCAUAGAGGAAUCACCACUGUUAUUUUGAAGAACACAAUCUUCAGCUAUAGACUCAUUACGGAGCACUUUUUCACAAGUAUUUGGGUACUGAACAACCUUUUCGGGAACUGAAGUCUACAUAUGAAACAUCAAAAAACUCAAAGUGUAUAGGGUCCUCAAUGAGAAGCUACACUGGUCUAUCCUCUGUCUUUGCAUGGCCGUGUUUGUCUUUUUAUUAUCCAUGUAAGUUUCUGCAAUGUUAUUUGAUGAAUAAAUUCUGAUAUCUACUCUCAUUGGGACAUUGGUAUUUAACUUUCUAUGUAAUUGUGGAACUAUUAGAAUGUAAGCUGUUUUAUCCCUUUUGCCAGAGCUUCAUUCUUCAUAAAUUCAGUGUUUUACUUUCUCACAGUAUUAAUGUCUGACCCUCCCCUCUCCCAACCGGUACGAAAUAAGAAAAAUCUCAGUAUUUGUCAUACCUAUUCAGGUGCUAUGAUGAAGAUGACAGAAGCAAUGGAUGGUUGGUGCCAUUGAAAUCUGUUUGUGAGGUAUUCAUGACUUGCAGCUCAAUUGAUUGUAUCCAUGGAGGUUGUUGUGGUUUAAAUGCACUAUUAACUGCACCUCACUGUCAUGCCAGCCACGUCUUAUUCUCCUAGAUUCCUUUGGAUAAGAAAACUGCUCAUUCUCUUCAAGUAUAGAGAAGCAUUCAGUGGCUUAUCAUAACUGGUAAAUGUAGAGAAGGAAUAAUUGUCUUUCUGCCAUGUGAAUUUUCAUAUUUUAUGGUACAAGGUUCCUUUUUUAUUGACUAAUUGAUGAAACGCUAGAGGUAACAGAACCAUUUCACUGAAAGCCACUAACAUAAGCUUUGAUGCAAGACAGAUUUGAGUGCGCUCUGUCCAUUGGAUUGAAGGAUUCUCUGUUCUGCUUAUUGAACCACGAUUUCCAUGUAAGCUUCUUCUAAAGAAAAAACUGACCGAAAUGUCAUGAGACUUGUAUAGCUAGUAGAACUUCUCCAGUUUUUGUUGACUGCAUUCAACAAUAUUCCUUUUUCCUUUUUAAUUUUCAGGGGACAGAUUGGAACAUUUUGCUUCAGUGGUGACUGUGGUUAGUAGAGAGGUCUAUAUAAGUUUCUUAAUAGACAUUCUCGUUACUUUCACUUUCAUUAAAACUCUCGCGAUUGAAGGACUUCAACAAAGAAAGUUACAAAAGACUGCUAUUUAUUGAAUCUUAUAGCAAAGAGUGCCCCCAUUGGCUCUAAAAAUGUCCUUAAUAGCAUCUGUUCAUCUUUAUAGAUCUUAUAAUGAGCUGAUUUUCCAUUCAUGAAGAUCAAAAUGUGUGUGAAAACUGACUUUUACUGUUUCAGAUUGAUGGUUGAAACAACGGCAUGGACCUCUUAUCUAAAUCGUAGACUGGAAAAGAUUUGACAGCAGAGGCCUUUCUUGCACAAUGUUCAUGCUGUCCCUGCCUUUCUUACAGCCCUCUUGGCUUUUGUUUGUGCAUAAUAAACAAAAAAAAGUAAUAUUGCUUUAAUGUUUGUCUUAAUUGAUUGAUGUUUCAUGCUAGUAAUUAGUAAAUAUUCUUUGCAAAAUACUUCAUAUGCUAAAGCAAAUAUCAAUUAAGCUCAAUUAAUCUAAAGUUGAAAAGCCUGUUGUUACAAUAUACACAACAUUUAUUUUGAUGAUGAACAUUAAUUAGGAGGAAAAAGAAGAGACACCAUUUUGUAGAAAUGAAUUUGGUUGCAGCUCUAUUUCAUUAUUCUUGCAACAUUCACUCAUAUGUUUUUUGAUUGUACUGAUUAUGAUUUAUGUAUUUCUUUUUCCAUUUAUAUUAUUACGAUUAAAGUCUUAAGAAGGAUAUGUAUUGUCACGCCCCGAGCCUACACCCUGGACGUGGCUGGCACUCGAAGACCAUUGCUGGCCCCCAAGCGAACCCUUGGCCUGGCUUUCUUAACUCAGCGGAAAAACUCAAUGCAAUGCAAGGUUAUAAAAUAACCUAACUGAUAAAAUCUGGCCAAAAAGGCAACUCAAGUCUCAAAAUAGAAUAUUUACAUAUAUACAUAGAUGAGAGACUCCAAAGUAACUGACUGACUGUCUAUGAAGCCUCUAAAAUACUGAGAUGGAUGUUGGGACAGACCCCGCGACAUCCUAAUAAAACAAAACUUAAGAGAACAAAAUAACCGAGUCCUCCGGAAUGCAAAGAGGCUCACCACUGACUCUGAAGUACUCAACUGGAUCAACGGCGAACCGGAUGCUGGCCCUGGGUACCUGUGUCUGCAUCGUCAUAAGAUGCAGGCCAACUGGCAUCAGUACAUUGAAUGUACGAGUAUGCAAGCUGAAAAGCUAAACCACAACUUAAACUUGGAAGGAGUACAAAGGAACUAUUACCUUGGCUCUGUUCAACUCAUGAAUAACUGAACUCAAUAUAUAAAGCAAUAAGACAUGCAAUAUAUAAAUCUUGUAAAACAGUGUAAACAACUUAGCUUGGUAAANNNNNNNNNNNNNNNNNNNNNNNNNNNNNNNNNNNNNNNNNNNNNNNNNNNNNNNNNNNNNNNNNNNNNNNNNNNNNNNNNNNNNNNNNNNNNNUAUGAACUCGCGUCCCCAAUUCGGUGCUCGAUACUACUCCCAAAAUACUUUAGCUCAUAAGUGUUUUAAACACAUCUUUCUUUAGUUUGAGAUAAUUACUCAAAAUCUAGCCCAAAGGCUCACUUGGAAUCGAUGUUCCUUUUUCUUGAAAACUAGCCCAAAGGCUCUUUUGGAAUCAUAGUUCCUUUUUUACUCAAAUGUAAAAACAUUUAGAAAUUUCUUUGGGAAUACAUACUUCCCUAAUAACUUUUGAGAAUGAACUCAACUUUAAACUCUUGACUUAACUUGAAACUCUUUACUCUUUACUUGACUUGAAACUUGAGCCUUAAAAUGAAGUUAAAACAUUCAAUAAAGACUCUUGAACAACUUUAAAGACUUGCUUUGACUCACUUCUUUAACUUCUAGACUCAACUCUUAACUUCACUUGACUUGGAAACUAACUCUCCUUGAAUUGGAAUUAUGAAUUCAAGGUGUUUGAUCACAUGUUAUGGACGAGUUCUUGACGUUUAGACGCACCUUGGAGUGUUGGAAACAACUAUGAAACAUAGGUACAAUACCUAGGAACAUGUAUGAAAACGUGGGGAAGGAAUGGGAAGACUUGACGCUUUGAGAGGCGCGGAGCGCCAGACCUCAAAGGUCAGAAGGAUCUGGUUGGGGCUCUGCUAGGGGCGCCGCCCCAAGGGCUGGACCUCAGAGUCCCUCUUGGGGGGCGCUGGCUGGCGCGACGCCCUAGCUCUUUUCCCCGAAAACUUGACUUUUCUCCCUCAUUUUUCCAACUCUAAACCACCUUAACUUCAAUGGAUUCAGCCCCAAGAACUUAGAAUCAUUAAAACCCUCAACAUACAAUAGAUUCAACUCAAAACACCACCGGAAACAUCCACCAAACCAACAAGAACUUCAACACAAUCACAACCAACAACUUCAACAAACACAACCAACAACUUCAAUAAACACAAUCAAUCUUUUCUCAAAAAUAAAACGAGUUUGAUGUGUGGGGGAAAGAACCAACCCAACACUAUGAACUCACAUACCUUAAAAGGGAUCACCCCCGACGAAAUCCACGACAAUUUCUACGAAGUUGCUUUUUCUUCUUCUUUCUCCUCUUCUCUCCUUUUCUAUCAAGAACCCUAACUCUCACUUUAAAAAGGAAAACUGAUUUAAAAUCAGUCUAACACCUUAAUAUUUAUCCAAAAGAAAAGGCUAGGGAAAAGACCAAAAUACCCUUACAAAUUUCCGGACGGACUUCCCUGCCAACUGCCAACUUCCAAAGGGCAUAACUCACUCAUACAAACUCGAAAUCGAGCAAACUUGGUGGCAUUGGAAAGACCAUUCCACGAAAUUCGCAAACAUAACUGGAACUACACCUAAAUCAUCCUGAUCUAGGAGUUAUUACUACUCAAAGUUGGCCAAAAACUCACUUUUUCCCAUACUUAACCAAAUUUUCCAGAUUUUUAAUUCUUUCAAAAAAAAAUGACUAUUUCCAAUUCUAAGCCUCUUCAUAGAUAUUUCAAAUUGCCAGAUGUUACAUGUAUUGUGUAUGUUUUUUUUUUUUUAAUGUUUUCUCUCUAUUAGAUUUUAAUACAUUUAUUUUUUUUAUGAAUUUCUGACUGCCGUAUGUCUGUAGUUUUAUUUGGGAUUAAAUUAGCCAUUUGUGACUUUUGUAGAUUUUGCUAACUACUAAUCAAAGUUCAAAAUUUAAAGUUGGUUGAUUAAAAGGAAUUAAUUUUUAACAUUAAAAUACGUCCUUCAUUGGUGUUUCGUGCCACACUUUUAAAGAUUAUUUAUAAUUGUUGCAUUUUAUUGCUUAUUACAUACAUGUUUUCAUAAUUCAAAUAAAUCUACAAAAAAUUACAUGGGACAAACGUGCAACUUGCAUGCCCAGAAACUAAUUUAUUUAUAAAAGGAAGAUGAAGAUAUGUGUGAUUCAUCAAUGUGGCGCUUUAGGAUGCUCAUUUGGUAAAAUUGCGUAAGAAUUGAAGAAAUUUGAUGCUUUUCACAAUUGUUGGAUUUUUCAUGUUUACGAGGAAAAAAAUAUAAUUAAAAAAAUCAGAAUUGCAUGUCCAUUUAGUCAAAGCUAUUUAGGGAUAUGCCAUCGUUGAGCUCAAAAUUGUAGUGAACCUAUGUUAUGUAUUAAUUGUAACAUUUUUGUUUACGUUCCUCUCCUAUUUGGGCUAUUCCGAUGUGUGAUACGACAAAAAUGCUUGCCAGCCUAAAUGAAUGUUAAUCUUUUUCUUUGGCCUACCCUCAUCGGUCUGCCCUCCAUCAUUAGUGUCACACAUUUGAUAUGGAUUUCUUUUUGUUUUAAAAUAAAUGAUUACAUCAUAGGUCUUUUUUUAAUAUAGAUUUUAAGGAAUAAGGCAUCAAAGACUAGAAUAAAGUUGAUGUCGUUUUUACUAAAGCAUCCAAUAGGAAUGAAGCACUAUCAUUAAUUAAUACAGCACUAAUUGUUGUUUACCUACCAAUACCAUUAAUUAAUAAAUUUAUAAUGCAUUCAGAACUCAAAUAAUACAGUAAAUACACAUUCCAGUCUGUUUGAGCUCAUUACCAACUCUAAUUAUUGUUUGAUCUCCUCACCCAUCUCUAUGUACUAGACAACACCUUGUGCCAUAUAGUAUUUUGAUCUACGUACGAUCAAUCAGUUAACAAUUGAUCGAUCUAUCAUUGAGCUAUUGAGAAAUAACAAGAGAUUCGAUAAGUUAAUAUUGAGGUGAGUUCAUGAAGUAAUUAACUACUAAACAAGAUUGAUAUUAGAAUUGUAGAAGAUGAAGAUAGUAUAUAAUCUUUGAAGUAUAUUUUACAAUGAAUAAGCAUAUGUAUUUAUAUACACAUUUGUAACUAACUUACCUAAUCUUCUAACUAACAUCUGGAAAAUGUGCCUUACUAACUUUUACAUUUUGCUUUCUUUUUAACUUCCUCAAUACUCCCCCUCAAGCUAGGUGGUGCAAAUAUGUUUAAGACACCUAGCUUGGACAAUAGAUAUUCAUGUUGUGGCUUGUUGAGGCCUUUAGUUAGCAAAUCUGCAGGUUGAUGCUGUGUUGAAACAUAGACAAUAUUGAUCAGUCCAUUUUGAAGUUUCUCCCUAAUAAAAUGACAGUCCACCUCAAUGUUUUUAGUACGCUCAUGAUAAACUGGAUUAGAGGCUAAUUGAAUAGCAGACUUGCUAUCACUAUAUAUUUGAACUGGUAAGUGUACCUCAGCCUUCAACUCUUUCAGCAUACCUACCAACCAAACUAACUCUGUCACAGUUGAAGCUAAGCUUCUAUACUCAGCUUCAGCUGAGCUUCUUGACACAAUGGUUUGCUUCUUAGCUUUCCAAGAGAUCAAAGACUCUCCAAGUUUAAUCACAUAUCCAGUUAUAGACUUCCUGGUAAGGGGGCAUGCAGCCCAAUCUGCAUCACAGAAAGCUGUAACUUCACUACUACAAUUAUAGGAUAGUAAUAUACCUUGACCUGGUUGCCUUUUGAUGUAUUUGACAACUCUAAGUGCUGCAUCCAUAUGAGAUUUUUUUGGUUGAUGUAGGAACCGACUUAAUGUUUGUACACUAAAAGAAAUGUCAGGCCUUGUCAUGUUUAGAUAUAGCAACUUCCCAAUCAACUUUUGAUAAGUAACUUGAUCUGUUAGAGGCUCCUCCUGAUUUUGUCUAGUUUGUUCAUCAUACUGCCUUGAUGUCAGCUUCAUAUUUACAUCCAUAGGUGUUCCAGCAGUCUUUGCUCCUGAUAAACCAAUUUCUGAAAUGAGUUGAAGUGCAUGUUUCCUUUGAUGCAUAACUAUUCCACUGUUUGAUCUUACAAAUUCUAUUCCAAGAAAAUAUUUCAACUCUCCUAGAUCCUUCAUUUUAAAACUUAGUUGUAAGGACCUUUUUGUUUCCUCUACUAGCUUUAAACUACUUCCUGUUACCAAAAUAUCAUCAACAUACACUAAUAUUAUUGUAGUUCCUUCAGUAGUCCUUCUUGUAAAUAAAGAGUGAUCAUGCUGACUUUGAUUGAAAUCCAGCUUCUGUAGAACUGCUGCAAAUUUAUGAUUCCACUGUCUUGGUGCUUGUUUAAGCCCAUACAAUGAUUUUUCCAGUCUACACACCUUAUACUCAUUCUCCCCCUGGCUGGAAAAACCUUGAGGCACAGACAUGUAUAUUUCAUCCUCUAAAUCACCAUUCAAAAAAGCAUUAUAUACAUCCAUUUGAUGUAUAUGCCAACACUUGGACAUAGCUAAAGCUAAAAUAGCUCUCACUGUGACCAUUUUUACCACAGGGGAAAAAGUUUCUUUGUAAUCUAUACCUUCCUUUUGGCUAUAUCCUUUGGCCACCAGUCUUGCUUUAAACCUUUCUACUUCUCCAUUAGACUUGUAUUUAAUCUUAUAAAUCCAUCUGCAUCCAAUAGCAGACUUCCCUUUUGGCAAAUCAACCAGUUUCCAAGUUUUGUUAUCUUGUAAAGCCUGUAUUUCAGCUUGCAUUGCUUCAAUCCACUUAGGAUCUUUGCUGGCUUCAGCAAAGGAUGUAGGUUCAGUUAGAACAGAAGUUGCAGCAACAAACUCCUAGUAAGAUUUAGACAAGUGAUUGUAUGCCACACUGUCAGCUAUAGGAUACUUCACCUGUUUGCCCAUAUUUAGUGACACAAUCUUUCAUCCAAACUGGUGGAUGUACUCCUCGUGUAGACCUUCUAUUCACCACUGUUUGAGAGUCAGUAGAAACAGACUAAUUAUCUUGAACUGUUUCUUUCACUGUCUCUUGCUCAAUGUUGCUAUCCAAGUUUCUGUUCAACUCCUGACUACAUUGCUCUUCUUGUAAGCACAUAUUCUCACUAUUCUGUUUAUUCAUCAUGUUGUCACACAAUAACUUCCAUUCUCCAUUUAUCAUAGUACCAUCCAUACUACUCACAAAUGUACCCUAUUCUCUUUUACCUAAGGAAGACAUGAAAGGGAACAUUGUCUCUUUGAAUACCACAUCUCUACUCACAAAGAAAUUACUUGAUGUCAAAUCUAACAAAAUAUAACCCUUCUGAGUUUCUGAAUAUCCCAUAUGUACUGCUGCCUUUGUCCUUGAUGCUAACUUAUCACUCUUAGUUAGAACCUUAGAAUAACAUAAGCAACCUAAUACUCUAAGAUGAGACAACAUUGGCUUGCUUCCAUACAUUUUCUCAUAUGGAGAUUUACCUCCCAGAACUCUGCUAGGCAUCCUAUUUAUCAGGUAGACAGCUGCAAGCACACACUGACCCCAAUAUUUUAAAGGAAUAUGCCCCUGAAACCUUAGAGCCCUAGUUAAUUCCAAGAGGUGUCUAUGCUUUCUUUCAGCCACCCCAUUCUGCUGAGGUGUAUAAGGACAGGAUCUCUGAUGUACUAUCCCUCUUUCUUUAAACAAAGCAGCACAAACUGAAUUCAUGAAUUCAGUUCCAUUAUCAGAUCUAACCUUUCUUACCUCUUUGUCAUACUGUGUUUUAACAAAUUUCAGAUAAUAACCUAAAGCUACACAUACAUCUGACUUAUUUUUUAACAAAAAAACCCACGUCAUUCUUGAGAAAUCAUCAACUAUUGUAAGGAAAAAUCUAUUACCAUCAAAUGUAGGCUGUUUGUAUGGUCCCCAUACAUCCAAAUGAAUCAAAUCAAAAACUUGACUACUUUUAAUGCUACUAAUAGGAAACACAGUUCUGGUCUGUUUUGCACUAGGACAAAUAGUACAUUCAUUCAACACUUUGUUCAUUAUUUCUGAAUUAACACGAAACACUUUACUUAACACAUGUGAUGCUCCAUGUCCUAACCUCCUGUGCCAUACAUCCACUUCUUUUUCUGACAAUUGUUGAACUUCUAACUUCUUUUCAGACGCAACAAGAGUGUGAUCUUGUGUCAAGUUCCUCAACAGCAAGUACAACCCAUCAUCUUCUUUUGUUAGUUGUUGUUGAUGUUGUUAGUUGUGUUGUUGAAGUUAUUGUUGGUUGUGGGACAGGAUUGGGCUGUGUAUUUGAGUUGAAUCUAUUGUAUAAUAAGGGUCUUUAUGAUUCUAAGUGUUGCUGCUGAAACCUUGAGGUUGAGAGGGUUUAGAAUUGGAAAGAAACAAGGGGAAAAAGUCGGAUGAACAAAGGGCUGGGCUGUUGCACCUCUCCUAGUGCCAAGGACACCAAUCCUUCCCUUUCAUUCACCAUUUUUUUUUCCAUACAUGUUCCUAGGUAUUAUACCUAUGUUUCCUAGUUGUUUCCAACACUCCAAGGUACUUCCAAAAGUCAAGGUCAAGUGAAGUUAGUUUCCAAGUCAAGUGAAGUCAAGCUUAGAAGUAAGUAAGUCAAAACAAGUCUUUAAGGUUUUCCAAGAGUCUUCAUUGAGCGUUUUAACUUCAUUUUAAGGCUCAAGUUAAGUAAAGAAUGAAGGGUUCUAAGUUAAGAGUUUCAAGUUGAGUCAAGAAUUUAAAGUCAAGUCAAAAGUUAAGAGUUUCAUGUUAAGUUAAGAGUCUCACAUCAAGCCAAGAGUUCAAGUAAAGUAAAGAGUUUAAAGUUGAGUUCUUUUCUCAAAGUUAUUAGGGAACUAUGUAUUCCCAAAGAAGUUUUAAAGAAAUGUUUUUACAUUUAAACAAGGUUGGAAACUGAGAUUUCCAAAAGAGCCUUCGGGCNNNNNNNNNNNNNNNNNNNNNNNNNNNNNNNNNNNNNNNNNNNNNNNNNNNNNNNNNNNNNNNNNNNNNNNNNNNNNNNNNNNNNNNNNNNNNNNNNNNNNNNNNNNNNNNNNNNNNNNNNNNNNNNNNNNNNNNNNNNNNNNNNNNNNNNNNNNNNNNNNNNNNNNNNNNNNNNNNNNNNNNNNNNNNNNNNNNNNNNNNNNNNNNNNNNNNNNNNNNNNNNNNNNNNNNNNNNNNNNNNNNNNNNNNNNNNNNNNNNNNNNNNNNNNNNNNNNNNNNNNNNNNNNNNNNNNNNNNNNNNNNNNNNNNNNNNNNNNNNNNNNNNNNNNNNNNNNNNNNNNNNNNNNNNNNNNNNNNNNNNNNNNNNNNNNNNNNNNNNNNNNNNNNNNNNNNNNNNNNNNNNNNNNNNNNNNNNNNNNNNNNNNNNNNNNNNNNNNNNNNNNNNNNNNNNNNNNNNNNNNNNNNNNNNNNNNNNNNNNNNNNNNNNNNNNNNNNNNNNNNNNNNNNNNNNNNNNNNNNNNNNNNNNNNNNNNNNNNNNNNNNNNNNNNNNNNNNNNNNNNNNNNNNNNNNNNNNNNNNNNNNNNNNNNNNNNNNNNNNNNNNNNNNNNNNNNNNNNNNNNNNNNNNNNNNNNNNNNNNNNNNNNNNNNNNNNNNNNNNNNNNNNNNNNNNNNNNNNNNNNUAUAUAUAUGUAAAUAUUCUAUUUUGAGAUUCGAGUUGCCUUUAUGGCCAUAUUUUAUAAGUUAAGUUGUUUUGUAAUAUUGCAUUGCAUUGAGUUAUUCUGUUGAGGUUUCCGCUGAGUUAAGAAAACCAGGCCAAGGGUUCGCUUGGGGCCAGAAAUGGUCUCCGGGUGCCGGUCCCGCCCAGGGUGUAGGCUCGGGGCGUGACAGAAUAUGCCCUUGGAACCUUAGAGCCCUAGUUACUUCCAAGAGGUGUCUAUGCUUUCUUUCAGCCACCCCAUUCUGCUGAGGUGUAUAAGGACAGGAUCUUUGAUGUACUAUCCCUCUUUCUUUAAACAAAACAGCACGAACUGAAUUCAUGAAUUCAGUUCCAUUAUCAGAUCUAACCUUUCUCACCUCUUUGUCAUACUGUGUUUUAACAAAUUUCAGAAAAUAACCUAAAGCUACACACACAUCUGACUUAUUUUUUAACAAAAAAACCCACGUCAUUCUUGAGAAAUCAUCAACUAUUGUAAGGAAAAAUCUAUUACCAUCAAAUGUAGGCUGUUUGUAUGGUCCCCAUACAUCCAAAUGAAUCAAAUCAAAAACUUGACUACUUUUAAUGCUACUAAUAGGAAACACAGUUCUGGUCUGUUUUGCACUAGGACAAAUAGUACAUUCAUUCAACACUUUGUUCAUUAUUUCUGAAUUAACAGGAAACACUUUACUUAACACAUGUGAUGCUCCAUGUCCUAACCCCCUGUGCCAUACAUCCACUUCUUUUUCUGACAAUUAUUGAACUUCUAACUUCUUUUCAGAUGCAACAAGUGAGUGAUCUUGUGUCAAGUUCCUCAGCAGUAAGUACAACCCAUCAUCCUCUUUACCAACUUCCCUCACCUUGCCAGUGUAAAGAUCCUGAAAUACACAUAAAUGAGGGAAGAAAGUGACUGAGCAAUUUAACUCUUUAGUCAACUUGCUUACUGAGAGUAAAUUGUACUUGAACUCUGGAAUAUGAUAGACAUUAGUAAUCACACUCCUUGGAGAUAUGUGACACACUCCAGUAUUAGACACAUAAGACACUUUACUAGUAGGUAGAUAAACUGGUUUUGGAUCCUUAACCUUAACAACAGAAUGUUUUGUAAACAUAUCCAUAUUUGAUACCAUAUGAUUAGAUGCCCCUGUAUCUAUAAUCCAGACCUGAUUAUUUUCAGAAACUAACAAAGUUUUACCUGUAGUAUUAGCCUGAAGAUCAUGUACUGGAUUUGUAUCCUCUGAUUUUUGUCCACAUCCUUGAUUCUGCUUUAACAUGUGCAGAAUUUGAUCAUACUGAUCUUUGGUGAAACUACACCCCUGCAGUUGACUUGAACAAUCACCUAUGUUACUUAUAUGAUUUUUCACAGGAACAUUUGUGUUACUUCCAUAAUUGAAGGUUGAUCCAUCUGAACCAUCGUCAUAGCAAUUCUUUCUUGUACUAUUACCAUCAGUCCCAACCAUGUAAGCUCCACGUCUUGUAUUAGUACUCAUUUUUCUUUUGGAUUUGAAAUCAGAAGGGUAUCCAAUCAAUUUGUAACACUGAUCCUUAGUAUGCCCUUUGCAUCUGCAAAACUCACAUACAACAGGAAAGUUCUUCUUGAACUUGUUCAUUCCUUGAGUACUGGAGAUUCCACUUGUUCUCGAAUACAUCACCAUAGGGUCUACACCAGAAUCAGUCACAGAACUUAACCCUACACUUGUCCUGCUAGAAGUCAUCUUCUGACACUCAUCAUUUAUAACCAUUGCAUAAGCUUGAUUCACUGUAGGAACAUGACUCAUUAACAAAAUCUGACUUCUUGCCUGUCCAAAAGACUCAUUCAAUCCCAUCAAGAACUGAUACAAUUUCUGUCGAUUUAAAUGAUCAACAAAACUUCUUGCCUUUUCACAAUCACAUCCAGGAGGUGGCACUAACGCCUCAAAUUCAUCCCACAAAGUUUUAAGUUUAGUAAAAUAUACUGACACAGAAUCAGUACCCUGUUGCAAGGUUGCAAUUUCUUUAUGCAGGCUAAAGGUUGUUGACCCAUCUAACUGAUCAAACCUUUCUUUUAGAUCAUUCCAUACCCCUUGAGCUGAUGAAGCAAAGGCCACUCCUCCUAAAAGACUUUUUGAUACUGAAUUCAGGAGCCACGAGAGGACUAUAGCAUUCACCCUCUCCCACUGGCCUCUUAAUUCUGCACUUACACUUUCCUUUCUACAAGAUCCAUCUACCAAACCAAUCUUGUUUCUUCUGAGUAAUGCCAGUUUAAUCGACCUACUCCACAAAGCAUAAUGGAUGACUGUAAGCGACCCCUUGACUCAUAGACAUUGCUGGAACAGAGCUUGGAUUUCCAUCAGUACUGCUGUCUCCAGUUGUUUGUGCAGAUACUCCUUGAGUCAUGUUAACAAUCUUUUUUCUUCUUUGAAUUGAAUUGCGGAAAAGCAACGAACAAUUUAAGUCAGAUUUUGACCUUCAGAUCUUCAGAAGUCUUAAACAGAUGACAAAUUCUGAUCUCCAGAUCUUCAGAAGUAAUACGCAGAUGAGUUCUUCACCUUCAGAUCUUCAGAAGUCUUAAACAAAUGACAAAUUCUGAUCUCCAUAUCUUCAGAAGUAAUACGCAGAUGAAUUCUUCAGAUUCCAAUUACUGGCUCUGAUGCCAUGAAGUAAUUAACUACUAAACAAGAUUGAUAAUAGAAUUGUAGAAGAUGAAGAUAGUAUAUCAUCUUUGAACUAUAUUUUACAAUGAAUAAGCAUAUGUAUUUAUAUACACCUUUGUAACUAACUUACCUAAUCUUCUAACUAACUCUAUAACUAACUUCUGGAAAAUGUGCCUUACUAACUUUUACAUUUUGCUUUCUUUUUAACUUCCUCAAUAGUUCCAUUGAUUCAUAAUUUAGUUUCAUACUUAAAGGAAAUCUUUAUCCUCUGAAUCUAUAUACUCCCCUUCAUCACUUGGUGAUUGUUUUUCCUUUUAAUUUCCUAUAAUCCCUUCAUCUAACACCUGAAAAAUACAAUGAAGGAUACACAUAGUACAGAAGUCAUAAAGAAUAAAGCUAACAAAUAUUUUCAGUUCCACCAAGUCUCCUACAAUCAAAUAAACGAAAGAAGGAAUUAAUGAAAAAGGAGAAAUAAAUUAUACAAGACACUAGAACAGUAGAUUGUAUUAAUAUAUAAAACUUUUAGCUUUUGAGGUUGAGCUAGACCCAGAUAUUAUAUUUUUAUAAGGUAUCAUAGCCAGAUCUAUUUUCGUUUGCACUCUUGAUCCAUGCUCCAAUUGUGAAAAAGUUAGAUGAUUUUUUGAAAUAUCAUAGAUUAGUCUCUAGAAUAGUCUAGUGUAGUAUCAUCAUAUCAUAUUAUCAUGUAGGCAUAAUACAUAAAUAUACCCUUUAACAAUUGACCUCAGUUCAUAUUUGUGUCCUUCAACUUUGAGUGUGCACAAGUAGACACUUAAACUUGCAUAAAGUUUAAUAAAUAAACAGUAAACACACGUGUCCUACUGGCAAUUUAUAUCCUAUGUGGUAUCCUACAUGUAUUAUGUUAUCAUUAUCAUUAUCAUUCAUUCAUAUUCAAUCAUCAUUAUCUAUAAAUGUUAAUUUAUUUAUUGCUAGAAUAAAGAAGACAAAUGAAGAGCUGUGGAAAUGAGUAGUUAUGAAAAGAUACAACAAAUAAGUAUAAUAAAAAGGUCUUUCACGAGCUUGCAAUAAUGAGAUGUUAGAAAUUUACUUUUUUUAUGAAAUAGUAAAAUGCUUGAAGAAUUUGAAAAGUCAAUAUUUCAUUAAAAACAUAAUAAAAGAUUGCAUUUAUCUAUUAAAAUCAUCAGCCAUUUCUAUUAAAAUAUAAAGAAUGUGAAGAGUUAACAUUGAAUUAAAAAAAGAGAGACCAUAAUCAUCUAUAAAAUCAAAUAUAUAUACGGAUCACUUUUAUAGAAAAAAAGAAGAAAGAAAAAAUCAUGAAUUUUGUGGAUUAAUGUAGGAGAAGAGAAUUUUGUUCUCAUUUUUUUCUUGGAGAAAUCUGAUUCAUAUGUCCAUCUCAAAUUUGUUUGCUCUAAUAUAUUGCUAUGCAUAUUUUUAAUUUUGUUUGCUAACUAAUUUUAUUUGUUUCUCCGCAUUUCAGAUUUAACUUUGCACACUCUUCACUUCUCAAUCACUAAUAUCAGGUACUCAUUUUCUAACAAUUAUUAUUUUACAAAUUUAUAAUAUAAUUUGUAGGAAAAUAUAACGUAUGUCUAAGAUUUAUGAGAAGAAUAAAGAUAUUAACUUUACAUACAUAUAUGAUUAUUAGUCCUUUGAACUUUUCAUUUUAUUUUUUUUUGAAUAUUUACACAUGGUGAUAGAUUCUUUUAUAUUUAUUACAUUAUAAUUAUAUUUGCAAAAGUCUACUAAAAUUAUUCUGUUAAAUUCACAUAUAUUAUAAUUUAUAAUCUUGAAUUAAACAAAGGAUGCAUGUAAGUAUUUGAAAACAUAACCGAUUAUGUUGCUCAUGUUUAUAUUCAGACUAUUUGUUGUUGAAAUAUCAAAAGACAAAGAAAAUGUCAGACACCAUAAAAAUUACACAAGAGAAAGGAAGGGCAAAUCAAUUCAAUUUAUUAUAUAUAGCUACAAAUUAUUGUACUUUACUUUUAAAAUUUUAAUUAAUCAUUAUAUACAUGUUUAAUAUUAUCUAUAUUAUUUUAAAGAUUAGAUAGGUUGACUUUGCACAAACGAGCAGCGCACGUUUUCAGAGACUAGUAUUACAAAAACUGAGAAGCUCCAAAUAUAAAUUAAAUUAUCAUUUUACCCUUACACUAAAUUAAAUAUUCUAUUGAUAAAAUAUUUAUUAAUCAAAAUGUUUUUAAGUUUUUCACCUCCUAGAUUUAUUGCAAGCUAAAGAGUAACUUGUUUAGUAAGUAAUACAUUGAUCCGUUAUUAAUUUAAUUAGUACGUAAUUAAUAAAUUUUUAAAGAAAUUAGAUAGCAAAGGCAUAAUAAUAAUAAAUUACUAAAAGUGGAAAGCUCCAAAUACAAAGUUGGAUUACCAUUUUACCCCUAUACUAAAUUCAAAUAUUAUAAAUAUUCAAUUAAUUAAAUAUUUAUUAAUCAAAAUAUUUUAAAACCUUUCACCUCCUAGAUUUAUUGCAAGCUAAAGAGUAAUGUGUAAACUGGUAAAUACUUCUUUUUGUCAUAUUAAUAUUGCUUAAUGAAUCAGCCACAAUAAUCUCUCUCUCACUCUGGGUGUAUGUAUAUAUAAUAUAAUAUUGCUUUAUUUGUAUUUUUUUAAAAUUAAUAAGCUAAAUUUUUCAUUAAUUAUACGUUACAAUAUUCUAAGCGUCAUUAUAUUUUCUUCAAAUUUUCAACCUUCUAUUGUUUAUGAUGAGAAGACCAAAAUUCACUAUCUUAAUUAUUCAAACCAUAAAUGAUUGUAAUAAUUCUGACAAAAAAAAAGAAUCAUAUGAGUCACUACACCGAUUAGUAUAAAUAUAUACUUGUCAUGCUUCUUUUUUCCUUCCACAGAUUCCUCAUUUGCAUCUUAAUUUUAUUUGGUUAUUAUUGAAGAUUUUUGUUUGUGCUUAUGAGUUUCAUGUUAUAUUUUUCUUUUCGGAAAAGAGCCUAAAAUAUUCUCGAAUUAUUCAAAAUGGUAUAAAAUUACCCUCCAUCCACCUAUUGGCUCUCAAAUAUCCCUGAUAUCUAGGGAUGACAAUGGGGUGGUGUGGGACGGGGGCGGGGCGGGUUGAGCUUAACCUGCAAAAUUUUUAAUCUGCCCCGCAUAACAUUUCUUUUCAAUUUCAAUCCGCCCCACCCAUCCCUCAUAACAUUUCUUUUCAUUUUCAACCCGCCCCACCCCACCCUGCAUAAACCCGCUCCGCUUGAACCCGCCCCACAUAUUUUUUUAAUAUUUUCUUUUUCUAGUUAAUUUUAAUACUAACAAUAAAAUUCAUAAAAAUAAAUUCAUUUUUUCAUUAAGUUAAUUUAAUAGGAUAGUGACUUAAAAUUUGUUUUUUUAGAGGUCAAUUGAAAAACAUGUAAGAAAUUGAAUUAUAUUUUAUUGAACUAUUUUCAUUUACUAUCUUGAAUAUUUUAGUAGCUUUAAAGAAAUUAUCUUAAUAAAUAACGUUCUAUCACUCUUAUAACAUGUAAAAAAUUAAAAUUAAAUUUAAACCCACAUAAAAUCACAUAUACUCACAACCCACCCAACAUUAGUUUUAAAAAAAACCCACUUCAACCCGCCCCACAUAGCCUUAAACCAGCUCCACCUCACAUCCGUCCCACCCCAUUGUCAUCCGUACUGACAUCUAUCUAUUGUCUCUCAAAUACCCUUCCAUCCACCUUUGGGUCCUAUAUUGACCAUUUUUAUAGUGGAUUAUCAUUUAAAUAAUUUUUUUAAAUGAGUGGCGACAAUCUAUUGGUUAUAAUUUUAUAACUUAAAUUAAUUUACAAACUCACCCAUUAUUAAUUAUACCUGACCCAAAUUGACUACACUCGACCCAAGUUAACUAUACCCGACUCAAAUUAAUUACACCCACCCCAAAUUACAUUUACCCCACCGAUUUAAACAAAUACACCCUUCAUUCCCAACAUUUCACUUCUUCUUCCAACCUUACUUCUCCAAUAUAUUCGCUUACAAUCUCGAAAAACACUACCUAAUUACACUCAUGUAUCACCACAAAAAAUCAUGAGUGUUUUGGUGAUUUUCUAUUGUGAUACAUGUGUUUAUUUAGGUAGUUUUUUUCGAGAUUGUAGGCGAAUAUAUUGGGGAAGAAGAUUGGAAGAUGAAGUCAAAUGUUGGGAAUGAAGGGUGUAUUUAUUUUAAUCGGUGGAGUAAAUGUAAUUUGGGCCGAGUGUAAUUAAUUAAUUUGGAUCGGGUGUAAUUAAUAAUGGGUGAGUUAGUAAAUUAAUUUAAGUAAUUAAAUUGUGUCCAAUAGAUGAUCGGUCACAUUUAAAAAAAUAUAUAUUUAAAUGAUAAUCCGUUAUAAAUGUAGUCGAUAUUGGACCCAUAGAUGGAUAACAUGGGUAUUUGGGAGCCAAUAAGUGAAUGGAGGGUAGUUUUAUGAGAUUUUGGCCAAAAACAUCCCUUAACUAUAGCCAAAACUUAAUAUACAUCCUUCAACUAUCAAAUUGAACAAAAUUCAUCCUUAAUGUAUUCUAAUCUUAGCAAGUUUCAUCCUUGUAUGAAACUCUGUUAAGAAAACUAACAGACCCCUCCCCUUGGUAUCUUUUUACAAUGCAAUCCAAAGAUUCCUUCAUUCAUUUUUUGUUCUUGCAUUUCUUAUGCUUUUUGAUAUUAGAUUGUUAAAGUUUACCAUCAAAAUACUCUUUUAAGACUAUUUUCUUCUCUUGUAUGUGACAUGAUCUGCUCUUACGGUUCCUUCUCUCAAUUUUCACAAUACCCAGCAAAAAUUUCUUGUUGAAGACUUUUGAUCAACAGAUUGUAUUGUCAUUUCUCAUUUCUUUCCAAACAACAUCACUUAUAAUUUCCCAAUUAUGAUACGAAUUCGGGCAUACUCUUUCCCCUAUUUUUAAUUAGUCUCAGGUAGGGGUAUGCAUCGGUCGGUUUGGUUCGAUUUUAAGUAUUAUUGGUUCGGUUUAUCGGUUUUCGAUUUUUAAAUAUGCUAGACCGAUAACCAAAUCAAUAAGAUAUUUGUUAUUGGUUUUUGGUUUAUCGGUUUUGGUUUUUAACGAUUAGGUUUUCGAUUUAACCAAUAAGAAAAUGAUUUCAAAAUAAAUACAUGACUUGUCCAAUAAUUUAACGCGAAAUAAAAAAGAGAGAAAUCUUAUUACUCAUUGAGUGCAAAAAUUUUGUUUAGUGUAGUAAAAGUAUAGCAAAUACACAUAAUUCACAACCCUAGUUGUUGCCUAACAUUUGUCAUCGUCGUUCUUAGUUCUUUAGGUUUUUGAUGCUUUGAACCUAACAGGGACGUCUUAACCCCUAGGCCACUAAAGCCAUCGCUUGGGGUCCCAUAUUUUUGGGGCCCCAUUUUUAAAAAAUAAUUACUUAUAUAUGCUGUUUUUUUUUAAAAAAAUUAUAUGUACUAUGAGCGCUAUGAUUUCUACUAAUGAAAUUGCAUAUGACAUGAAUAUAAAUAUGAUUUCGUAAGAAACAAUUCGAUGAAAAUAUGAAUAACGAAAUCACUAAGUCCCUUGAAGAAUCUUUAGAGUUGAUUACGUCAUAUAUGUAGAGUAGAUCAAACUAUUUUUUCACUUCAAAAUAGAUUUGAACCAAUUGAAGCAUAUAAAAAUAUUUUUGAUUUCUUAUUUAGUGGUAAAAUAUUGAGAUUACUAAAUGAUGAAUUUUUUAAAAAAUAUUGUCUUAACCUUGAACUUUCUUUAACACAUACUAGUGAUUCUGAAUUGAUGGUUUAGAUUUAUUUUUUGAAUUAAAAGUGUUAAAGAUAAAUAAUACAAGUAGAAGAUAACGAUGUAAUGAGAAUACUCAAUCAAAUAAAAAUACUUGAUUCUUUUCCAAAUACACAUAUUGCUUAUAAGAUAAUGUUAACAGUUCCUUUAACCAUUGCCUCAACCGAAUUUUUCUUUGUUCGAAAUUAAAAUUGAUUAAAUCUUCUUUAAGAUCAACAAUGUCUCAAGAUAGAUUGAAUGAAUUAGCUAUAUUAUCAUUUGAAAAGGAAUUAUUAAAACAAAUUGAUUAUAAAACUGUACUUAAUGACUUUGCAUCUGAAAUAGCUAGAAAAGUAUAUUUUAAAUAAAAGUACAUAUGAUGAAAAAAAAAUUAGGGCCCCUCUCUUAAGUUUCGCUUUAGACCCCCAAUGUUGUUGAGUCGGCCCUAGAACCUAAAGACUAAAGUAAUACUAAAUCCUAAAAGAUAAAUGCAGAGAGUAGAGUUAAUUAAGUAAUAUUAAUUGUGUAGGGUCCUUAUAGUUAUAGUCUAAUAUAGUGAUUAUAUUAAUAUUUUUUGUUUGAUAUUUAUGUAUGACUAAAAAUUAAAAUAGUAAUUUAUUAUAUUCUUAAUGGGUUAUCGGUUAACCCAAUAACCCAAUAUUAAAAAACCAUAUCGAACCAAUAACCCAAUAAUUUUUUUUUAUAAAACCAUUAAGUAACCGUUAAUCCAUUAACCCAAUAACAAUAAACCAAUAACAUUUUUUUCGGUUCGAUUUAUCGGUCAGUUCGGUUUUUGCACACCCCUAGUCUCAGACCUCUUUUUUUUUCUCUCUAAAAUCAAUAGCCAGAUCAAAUAUAAUCAUAACUCAACAACUACAUAGAAGAAGAAUCAACCUAGCUUUGUUGUUUUUUCUUUUUCUUUUAUCGCUCAUAUUCACCCAACAAAAUUGGCACAUGCAAAAGUGAACUCAAAUAGUUUAGGUGCUUGGUCAAUAAUAUUUUAUAUUUUUUCCAGAGCAAAUAUGUUCAUAAUUUUAAAAAAAUUAAAAAAACUUAAAAAAUAAAAAAGUAUAUUCAUUCGAAAUUGUUCACCAAAAAUAUCAAAACAACUUCAAUUUGUAGUAAUACCACACACAACUUAUGAAAAUUAUUUUUCACUUUGAAAACAAAACUACUUUUUAUAAUUUCACAAUAAAAUAUGGUCAAAUAUCCAAUAAUUGGCCUACUACUGGUUUGAGGGACUUGAUUUUUGAGGUGUUAGAGUCAUGUGACUUGCACAAGAUGUGGGGUCUAAUUAAGUUUUUAAAUAAAAGUUUCACAGAAGGAUGAAACUUGCUAAGUUUUGAAUAUAUGAAGGAUGACUUUUGUUCAAUAGGUUAGUUGAAGGAUGUACAUUAAGUUUUAGGCAUAGUUAAAAGAUGUUUUUGGCCAAAAAUUCGUAGUUUUGUACCAUUUCCAAUAGUUCAGGAUAUUUUAGGCCCUUUUCCGUUUUUUUAUACUCUGUAAUAAUGAUUAUACAAUCAAAUUUUUUUUUAGUGGUGGGCAAAAAACUAGCAAAAGAAAACUUUGGUGUAGAGGAAGAAGGAGCAAAAACAAGAAUGGCCGAUCCUGUAAUUGGUGCUACUUGUUGUGCCGUAAUUUUCCUAACCUUUAGAAAAAUCACUUUUUGAAAUGUUCUAAGUACAAAACAAUUUGAGAAAAAUACUUAGAAAGAGUCGCCACUUAAUUUUUUUAAAGAAAUUAAGAAAACAUAUAAUUUUUCAAAGAUUUUAAAACAGAAAAAAAUCAUUUGAAAAUACCAAAGAGGGUUCGGGGUUCAAUUUACACUUCGAGAAGGGUUUAAGCAUUCGAAGUGUCCGCUAACAUGCGGUUGACCUGCGACUUGACUAAAAUAUAUUUGACUAUUUUUAGAAAAAAUAAUGAUUCAAUAUAAAAAAAAUAAUUACUUAUAAUAUAUUUGAUUUAAGAAAUAAUUAAAUAAAUGACAUAUUUUUAUUUUUUAUUUUAUUUAUUUAUUUAUUUAUUUUUAGAGAAAUGAACCCAAAAAUGAAACAUUUUGAAUUAAAUUGUAAGUGAUUAGAAUAUUAAUAAAACUAGACUAAUUAUUUAAUUCGUUUUAAAAUAACAAUUUAAACCAAUUUUAAUAAAUUAAAGCAUGAACAUCAUUUUAAAUUAAUUGACUGACCCUCUUUGAGAAAUGACCAAGCAAGUAUUUUAUUUUAAUUAAUUGAAAAGGCUUUUUAAAAGUUUAUUUGGGAGAGACCUUUACUUGAAACAAUUUUAAACGAACUAAAAGUGUGUUAAGUAAAAAAACAUUAAAUAACGUUCUUUUCAAGAACAAAGAGUUUUAAUUCAAUUAAUGACAUAAGAUCUUAUUAGUAAAAUAAAUGAACACAAAAAAAAAAAAUUAAAAGUAAACCAACAUAACAAAAAUAACUCAUUUUUCGGGGAGUCUAAUUAAGUUAUUUAAAGUUAGAGUCAAAUAAGAUUAGUCAACACAUAAUCGAAUCAUUAGAAGAGUAAGAGAGAUAAUGAAAUUGGGCCCCUUUUUUGGGCCAAUUUCGCUAUAUUUUAAGCUUUGAUUCAAUUCCCGUUUUUGGUAUACAGCUGAUGUAUAUCAGUGUAUAUCGGCAUGUAUAUCAGCCCUUUUCAUGUAUUUCUUGCUUCCGAACACAUGCAUUUUGCUCCAGCCCUGUAUUCCUGUGUUUUUGACCUGUAUAUGAGUGUAUACCGAUGUAUAUCAAUGUAUACAGGCUGUAUCUCAGCCUAUUUUCAGCUUUUGAGACUUGUUUGCAAAUUCCAGCCCCUGUACAGCCCUAUUCGGAUGACCCGGAUGACUCAAAGGAAAGAAAAAUUGGGCCCCUAUGGCCCGAUCAUCGAAAUGCAACGAGAGGGUGGAAGCCCAUGAGGAUUCGUAUAUAUUUCACAUGCAAUAAAAAGGGGUGAUAAGAAAUUAGAAUUGGCAUAAACAAUAAUUAAGUGUGCGAUCAAUUGACUGUAAGAAAGUAAAUAUCUAAGAUACAAGACAAAACAUGAUAUCAUUGACUAAACAAGCAAACUACUUAAGGAAAUUUACUACAUUUAUCAAAAACGAGUAUUCACACGACACAUUUUUUAAUAAAACUAAGUCUCAUGGUAGUGCCUUAUUGAAGCCAUAUGCCAAGUUUCAUCAACUCAUUUUGAAUCUAUUGCUAUGCCAAAAUUCAUGCUUAAUCUAAUUAAUGUAAAAUGGACUAACCAACAUGGAUAUACUAAUUUUAAGAAUUGACCCUACAACACUAUCUUAAUAAGGAGAAAAUCUUAAAGAACGGUAACAACAAGGCUUUAACAUAAUGAAUAAGAGCAUUAAUACUCUUUACAAAAUAGCUCUAUUCAAAUAUCCACUAUAUGCCAAUGCAAUAUUUCAAAUGAUCAGAGAGUAAAAGAAAAUAAAAAAAAUAAAAUCAAUAAAGCAUCACAAUGAACUUGAACAUCAAUUGAUAGAGGUUACACAUUCGACGUACAUCUAAAGAUAAGGAACUGUACUAAUCCUAAAUUUAUUAAAAUCAAAUUAGGCCAUAUAUAUAGUGCUAAGGAUGUCAUUACCUGCAUGGUCUUAAAUACAAGAGGAUGUUUAUAGUGUCAACUUUACUAAACCAACAUGCUAAAAUUGUUGUAGACAAAUAGGCUACCAAAUAUUUGACGUUUUACCAAGACCAUACUCCAACACCAAAAAAAAAACCACAUAUAGAUGUCUUAAGAUAUAUAAAGAGUUAAUCAUGUGAUAGGAAUUAGAAUAGAGACAUAAUGUUGAUCUUAGAUGCACACAAAAUGCCUCCUUACCAUUCUUGCAACUUAAAUUGUAUUUACAAACAUAACAAGAUUAGACAAAACUUCACAUGAGCUCAAUGAUAAGCAAAGCUAGUGUAUAAAUUCUAGAUCCUGGAACCUCAAUCAAACGGUAUACCAACAAAUGGGACAAAAUCUUCCAUAGUCAAAUGGUCCCCUAUUAAACACAAGUAGAAUGUUCGUUGAAUCACGAGUCGAAAAUAACAGUCUAUGUUAAUUUGAAUGGCACAACAAUCAAUGAAGGGGAAGGAAAAUAGUAGCUAUGGCUGUAUUCAAAUUCCUAAAUUGUACCAUAAUGUAUGAUUGACAUAGUAGCAAUUUGUCUAACAUAAUCUGCUAUAGCAGUUCCUAAGCUAAAAUAUGGCGGAUAAACUCGAUGGAAUUCAUGAGUAAAGAUUCUAAGGAAAGAAGUAUAAACUCAUGAGUGCGGUAGUAACUAAAAUCAUGCUAAAAUAGUAAACAACCAAGCUUAAGCUUCUUCUAAUGCACAAGGACGAGAUCAAAUUAUUUUUGUCGUUGUAUGCGGGUACUUUAAAUGGAGAGGGAUUGCUCGAGUUCUACAACCAAAAUCAAUCUAAAAUAGAUAUGAACCAUCAAAUGCACAUUUACUUAUAAAGAAACAUCAACCCAAGGGAAAGCUCAACCAAUUAUAUUCCUUUCUUAAUGUUCUUCAAGUUGAGAAAGCAUAAAUAAAAAAAUUUAAAAAAAAGGAAAAAAUGAACAAGAUUCAAACAACAACUAAUAUCGAAAUGUAAUACGAAGGAUGAAAAAUAUCACCUUUCUUGGAGCAGCGACCUAAAACGAACGAGCUGAGGAGGGUAGCGAUUCUUCCGCCGAAACACGACUCCGAAAAACUCGAACAAACAAGACAAAAACAAGCAAGAGCCAAGGCUGAUCCGAAUAGUUUUAACGAUUUUGGUUUAGAUAUAUUUCUUCCUUUUAACCUCUUUUUUUCCCCUCCCCUAAUAUGUUCCUCCCCAAGCUUUUUAUAGAGGAGGUAUUAGGGUCGAAUUGGAGGGAUUUUAGAGGAUGAAAAUUGGACGAGAGCAAGGGCAGAAACGGGAAUUACUAUCCGAUCUUCGAUUCAAAUUUUUCCCAAAACCAAAGAACUGCUGCUUGUACAAGAUUUCAACCAAAAUCCCUCAAAAUCCGAAUGACAAGAUCAAAUGGGCGGCUGUUGCAGAGAAAGCUGUGGGAGUUGUUGCUUGUUGACGCGUGAGGGAGAAGAAAAUGCGUACUGCUGCUGUCUGGUUCACGUGAGCUGCUGGAUUCGGGUCGAUGCUGGGUUUCUGGUGCGUUUCUGGGUUUGCAUCGCUGAAGAAGAAGAGUAGCAGGGGCGGUGGGUCCUUAUAUUGGAAUUGGGUUGGGUGUUGUAUGUAUUGUUAUAUUGUUGGGUUCUUUCUUAGUGGGCUGCUGAGUUUCUGAGAAAAAUAAGUGGGCUGGGGCGUUGCAAAUUAGGAAAUAGUCACAAGAAUUGCAAUUAUGGCCUAUGAAAAUUGACAAGUUAGCCAAAUUGAGUUUAAUUGGUGAUUCGACUAAAAAGCCAAAUAAGACGAAUUAAUAUAAAUUAAUUAAUGAGUUUCUUAAUCUCAACAAAAUAAAAAUAAUAAACUUAAUUAUAAAUUGAUUAAUUCAAUUACAAAACUAAUUAACUCGAAAUUAUAGCUAUAACUUAGAGCAAAUUAAUAAAAUAUUUAACUAAAAUGUAAAAUCUUUUGUGAUAAUUUUUAAAUAUUUAUAAAAUAGCGUGAUUGCAAAUUACACAUACUUAUUAUUAAAAAGUGAUAAAAAUUACUUUAAAAAAAUAACUUGAAAGUAUUUUGAAUUUCAUAAAACUUAUUAACUCAAAACUAUAACCAUCCCUAAUAUUUAAAAUAUAAUUAUUAUUUUUUGACGAUUUUCGAAUAAUCAUAAAAUAUACUAAUCAUAUACAUAAUUAUGUAAAACAUAUACACCAUCUAAAAUUUAUGAAAAGUGACAAACUAUUUAAAAGUCUUGCAAACUAUAUUAUUAUUAUUACUUCUAUAAAACUAAUUAUUUUAAAACUAUGGCCAUAACUAAAAUAACGUAACUUAAAUAAAAUGUGCUUUUCAAAUCAACAAAAUUAAAUAAAACAAAAUAAUAUAAAAUAAGAAUAAUUAAACUAAUAAGAUAAAUAACUUGUACUUUAAACCAAAUUAAUUUAAUUGAAUAUAAAACAAACUCUUUUUGUGACGAUUUUUGAAUAUUCAUAAAAUAUAAUAAUUAUAUACAUAAUCAUGUAAAACAUAUAUAUUAUCUAAAAAUUAUAAAAUAAGUGAUAAAACUAUUUAAAAUAACUUGCAAACUAUUUUUUAAUUUGAUUUAAUUGUAAAACUAAUUAUUUUAAAACGUUUAAAAUUGAAGAAACUCGAUGAUUAAUCUAUAUUGUGGAUGUCCAAAAUUGGGUGUCAACACUACUGUUAAAGUUGGGCUAGGCAAGCUACUUUCUUUUACUACUGAGGAGGCCAAAACUUUAAGGAACUGCAAGAAAAAUCUCGGAAAGCUGAAAAAAUAUGUAUCCAUUAUCCAAGCUUUCAUUCAUGAUGCUGAAAGACGACAAAUCGAAGAUCAGGCUGUGGAAGAAUGGCUUAAGAUGCUUGAGAGAAUUGCUGAAGAUGCUGAAAAUGUGUUUGACAAAUUCACAUAUGAAUCUCUCCAAGCACAAGUGAUGAACAACCGCAACGUCUUUUCACAUACUGCUUUCAAGUACGAAAUGUCUCGAAAAAUCAAAAAGAUCAAUAAAGAGUUGAGGGCUAUCAAUCAGUUAGCCAAUGACCUCGGUCUCCGACCACUGACUGUUCCUUUUCAAAAACUACCAAUCCGAGAAACAGAUUCUACAGUAGUUGCUUCGGAUGUUGUUGGUAGAGACCAAGAUGUUGCUGAAAUAAAGGAGAAGAUGUUGAACAUGAGAAAGGAUGAUGUUUAGUGCACCAUUCCCAUAGUGGGUAUGGCGGGUUUAGGGAAAACUACUCUGGCAAAGAAAAUUUUCGAUGACGAACACAUCAAGCAGCAGUUCGAAAAGAGUGUUUGGUUGUGCCUACCUGAAAUGGCAGAAACUAAGAGCUUUUUUACAAUGAUCCUCGAACAUUUGACAAAAAGAAAAGUUGAGGUCCAGGCAGAGAUGUAAUAGUCAAGAUGCUCCGAGAUGAACUGACAGGAAGAAAGUACUUGCUUGUCCUGGAUGAUCUGUGGCAUGUGAACCCAUUAUUGUGGCAUGAUAUCUUGAACACCUUGAGAGGAAUAAAUACAUCCCGAGGAAACUUCAUUCUCGUGACAACUCGUAUGGAACUGGUGGCGUCCAUAGUAACAACAAUAGGUCCUCAUAUGUUGGAAAAAUUAGCAAAAGAUCAUUGUUGGUCCAUUUUCAGACAAAGUGCAUUUGUUGUUGGGGAAGUUCCGGAGGAAAUGCUGAGCAUGAAGAACAAGAUUGUUGAAAUGUGUCAAGGUCUACCGUUGGCUGCAACUGUAUUGGGAGGCCUCUUAGGCAACAAGGAUAAACAUGAAUGGCAGGCAAUUCUUGAUGGCAACCCCCUUGUUGCAGGGGAAAAUAGCAUAAUGAAGAUCCUAAAACUAAGCUAUGAUUAUCUACCAUCUCCACAUCUGAAAAAAUGUUUUGGCUACUUUGCAAUGUUUCCAAAAGAUUUUGAGUUUGAGAAGGAGCAACUAAUCCAACUCUGGAUGGCAGAAGGGUUUCUUUGUCCAAGUCAAGAGAUCCCUGUGAUGGAAGACGUAGGGAACAAGUUUUUUCAACAUUUGUUGAAAUAUUCCUUGCUGCAAGAUUUUGAGCUAGAUGAGCACAACAAUAUAACACACUGUAACAUGCAUGAUUUGGCUGGAGAUACAUUAAAAUCUAAACUAUUUGAUACGAAAAGUGUUGGAGGUGAAAAUCUUUCUCAAGCUCGAUACUUUGGAUGGGACUCACCAAGUGAUCAAGUGGAUACGAUGAAUGAGGUGUUGGGUAACAAACCUAUCCCACAUCGGAUGUAGAAGAAGAAAUGUACCAAUAUAUAAGUGCUCAACCAACUCCAUUAGUAUGAGGCCUUUUGGGAUGUGCCCAAAAACAAAUCCGUGAGGGCUUGACCCAAAGCGGACAAUAUCAUACUAAUGUGGAGUUAGGGUGGUGGUACGCGCGGUCCCAACAUGAGGCAGGACAUUUGUGCACAUUGUUCUGGAAAAGCAAUAUAUCUGAUGAUAUGCUAUUGAGCUUUCAGUUCUUGAGAGUUUUAAAUUUGUCCGGAUCAGGCAUCAAGGAGUUGUCAGUCAAAAUCAGCAAGCUAAUAUACUUGAGAUAUCUUGAUCUCUCGAACACUCAAAUCGAAGACUUUCCCAACUCCAUUUGCAAGCUCUACAAUUUGCAAACAUUUAGAGUCAAUGAUUUUUCUUCACUCAGGAAGCUUCCAAGAGAAAUGGCAAGUAUGGUAAGUUUGAGACACAUAUAUUACCAAUCAGAAAUUCAUGACCAGUUUCAGAUGCCACUUAAUAUGGGGCAAUUGACCAGUCUUCAGACGCUACAGUUUUUCUACGUAGGUUUAGAGAAAGGUCGUCAAAUCGAAGAAUUAGGUGUUAUCUCCUGUAUUCAGAUUAGCAAACCAGAAAUAAUAAAAGAUGUAAAGAAAAACACAAAGAACUAUCCGAGUCCACAGAACUCACUGUGUGUCCUUAAGAAAUUUAAUCCCCUCAAGUACCGGAGGUUGCAGAUUAAUUCCUCCCAAGAUAAAACGGAUUAACCAUUAAAGAAGUAGCGGUACCUCAAACUUCGAUAAUUUCAACGAACUCAAAAUGACAGCAACGAAUCACACACAUAGACACGAUCGAUCGAUUUUGUUUUGUAAGAAAUGUAUGCAAAAGAAGGGAAGAAUUCGAUACAGAAAAAUGAGAGAAAACCUCUCUAUUUAUAGCCAACAAAGGGUAAAGGUCACAACCCUUUGGAAAGAAGACAACCUUUCAGAAAUGUCACAACACUUUGGAAAAGUCAUAACCUUUCAAACGGUCACAAUCCUUUAGAAAGGACACAACCUUUCAUAAAGUUCACAACCCUUCGGCAUAGUCACAACUCUUCAGGAGAGUUACAACCCUUCAUUUCCUGUUCACACCUUUAAAACCCAACAUUAGGUCGUUUGAAAAACCUUAGAGGUGAACUGACGAUCAAAUGUCUCCAAUUAGUCGGAAAUAAAGAAGACGCUCAAACAGCAUAUAUAAAGGAGAAACCAAAUAUCUACAAGCUGGCAUAUUUAUGGUCCCAUGAUGAAUCCGAAGGCUGUGAGAUCAAUGAUGAACAUGUGUUGGAUGGUCUUCAACUGCAUCCUAACUUGAAAUCCCUAUUAGUAGUGGACUAUUUAGGGACUAAAUUUCCUUCAUGGUUCAGUGAAGAGUCGCUACCAAAUUUGGUCAAGUUGAAAUUAAGUGGUUGCAAAAGGUGCAAAGAAAUUCCAUCCCUUGGCCAAUUGAAAUUCCUUCAGCAUCUUGAGCUGGUAGGAUUCCAUAAGUUGGAAUGCAUUGGACCUGCUUUAUAUGGUGUUGAGAUUAGCAAUAUUGGAUCAAGCAGCAUUAUCCAAGUGUUCCCGUCAUUGAAAGAACUAGUA
rnacentral:lncRNA from 1 species